CCGAGGGGGCGUCAUGGCGGGACCCAAGGCUCAGGCUCAGUCCCUUCAUCUGAGCAAACCAUCAUCACGUCAGGCCAGGGCCUAGCACGUGGCGCAAUCUGCGCGACUUACGACGAAGUCGAGGCGUCUCUUGGAAGCCAGCCGGCUUCCGAGCUGGCGUUUCUUGCCACAGGCGGCGGAAGGAGAUCAAUAGCAAAUAACUCAAGCCGGCGGGGCCUCCCACUCCAAAGCGGCGGGCCUCCCCUGCUUCGGGGACUAAUGAUGGGGGGAUAACCCCGGGGUAGGCUCAUCGAGCCUACUCCUUUGCCUUCUACCUUGAAGGAACAACAUGAAUCAUUCUAUGAAGCCCAAGUCCCCUUGGCCGGCUAGGAAGCACCUGCCGGUUGGGGACGAGACGACCAAAUCUCUUUGGCUGGCCAGGAAGCUCAUGUCGGCUAGAGGUGAGACGGCCACCUCCCUUUGGUCGCCUAUGCCACGCCGGACGGCUAGAGGCGAGGUGGUCGUGCCCAGGCCGGCUAGUUAAGCGACUAGCCGGCUAGGGAGCUCUUGUCACAUCAGGCCGUAGGUCAUGACGAGACCCUACGGUUAAAGGUGGCUACGCGUCAGCCAAGGUACUGGAUUGGAGCGCACGGCAGGUACAGUGUCGGCGGCCAUGCCGCUAACCUACUCCGGUCCGAUCCAUCAUCCUGCACAGUGUCGGCCCGUCAAACUCCCACUCCAUUACAACACUCGGCAUGGGAAUAGUGGAGAUGGCCGUACUCGAACCCCAUGACGAAUCUCGCAUGACGACACCAGACUUACUACACGUGUCCUGCGUGGGUCUUACGCGAGAGCCUUAGUGGCUAGCCGACGGGCCCCUCCAGCGACAAGACAAGACCCCCGUGGGCCCCCUGGCCAGCCGGGUCCCACUCAUGUACUUUUAUCCUUAUUGUAGGUCGGUGGGUUCAUCUAUAAAACCCCCUGACAUCCCUCCAUGUAGAGGAUCGGUUCAUCCUAUACACACACACACUCAUACGUAUACACACACACUCAUACAUGAGAGGUAGACGCGAGCCGGCUGCUCGUUCUUCCUCCUCCGCAAAACAGCUCCAGGAGCACAUUGUAGCCUCAUUGAUACAUCAUACACUCCGGCAGGAUUAGGGGUGUUAUCUCUACGGAGAGCCCUGAACCUGGGUACAUCGUGUGUUCCAUGCUCGUACCAACCUCGACCCCAGCGCCCACCGGUGUCAUUUUGGUUCCCACCAUCUUUAGCCUACCCAUGGCAUAUGUUGUGAGUAAACACCGACAUGAUGCACUCGAUGUUGUACAAGGGCGGCGACGCAGCACUGCGGAGGAAUUGUAUCGCAGACACGGAUGGACAGGGUAUGACAUGGCUCAUGCAUGGACGCUGCACGAGGUGGCGACUGUUGCAUCAGGGUUGGCGUAUGGCGAGUAUGUGCCACACGGCAUGUUAUAGAUUGCUAAUUUAGAAUCAAGAUCAAGAUGGAAUCUAUCAUCUGAUAUAGCGGCGAUCUUUUCAGAGGCGAACAGAAUUGAGAAGGUCAGAACUUGGUCGCGGCAUUGCGUACGGGAAACGGGCUCAGAUCCAUGGGGAUGCGUGUGGUACUCGGUCUCGCCAGCAAAGCAACGCAUAAGGAAAGGAAGGUUACGAUGCAAGGCUGUGUACGCGAAACUUUGUGGCGUGCGGCAUCAGGGCUCCUCAGAUGAUGUGCAGCACAAGGAAAGAAAAUCAGAAACAAAAUCAUGUUGGGGCACGAGCCACUGACAGUCCUGCUAUUGGUUUUGGUUAUUAAAAGACAUGUGCGUGCAUGAUUCUGGUCCAUUGGAGAUCAGCAAAACCGUAACAGGCUGUGACUCGUUUCUCCAUGUCUAAAAGGAGAAGACAAGGUCGGGAGAUCUAGCGGAAAUAAAAGGCUCGGGCGAUGGAGUAGCCAACACACACCAGAAAAAAGUGAAGCAGUUGGUUUCGAUGGAGAGCACAUUCAUCUGCGUGUGGGUGAGGCUUCACAGGAAAUCGUGAAGGGCGGACAGGGACGAUGCAAGUCAAGAUUCUUGGUAGAUCGUGUAUUGCAGCGUGGCUUCACACGAAGAAUUUGAGAUCGGUGAUCUUCUUCGUGAGGAUGUCAUAGAGGCAAGCAAGGGCGGUCAUACCGGUGGCAACAGGUCAGUUAGAUCGCGGCUCGGCAUGGCACUGGGGUUCACAAAAUUUGAGGUGCAGAAAUUUGAUGGCACGGGUAACUUCGGUCUAUGGUCGACAAGAGUCAAGGAUCUUCUGGCUUAGUAGGAAAUCUUGAAGGGUUUGCAGGAGACAAAACCGGCCAAGGUUGGCGACGCGAAGAUUCUCCUAAGGGAAAUUGGAACAUGUUGGCAUGUCGUUAUAUGUCCAAGUCAGUGACCAAUAAGCUGUAUUUGAAGCAAAAUUUCUAUGCGCUGAAGAUCCAGGAGGGGUCGGUGUUAGAUUACUUUGGAUCAGAUCGGUAGGAUAUUCACAGUAGUGCAGAGUAUGAGAUGGGGAUUUGAUACGUCUCAAACGUAUCUAUAAUUUUUUAUGGUUUCAUGUUGUUAUCUUGUCAUCUUUGGAUGUUUUAUGUACCUUUUAUAUCUUUUUUGGGACUAACUUAUUAAUUCAGUGCCAAGUGCCAGUUCCUGUUUUUUCUGUGUUUUUGGCUCUUUUCACAUCUGAUUUUGGAACGGAGUCCAAAUGGAAUAAAAUCCCCGAAAUGAUUUUUUCCCGAACGGAAGAAGAUCAGGGGGCCUGUGGGCCAAGACAGGAAGGCUCCAGGGAGCUCACAAGCCCCCACUCCGCCACCAGGGGGGAGGCGGCGGUGGCAGGGCUUGUGGCCUCCCUGAGCGCCCCCUGACCUAGAUCUUUGGCCUAUAUAUUCCCUAAAAUACAGCAAAAAAAUCAGGGCAGCCUCGAAAAUACUUUUCCGCCGCCGCAAGCUUCCGUUUCCGCGAGAUCUCAUCUGGAGACCCUUCCCGGCGCCCUGCCGGAGGGGACUUUGGAGUUGAAGGGCUUCUUCAUCAUCAUCAUCGCCCCUCCAAUGACUCGUGAGUAGUUCACUUCAGACCUACGGGUCCCUAGUUAGUAGCUAGAUGGCUUCUUCUCUCUCUUGGAUCUUCAAUACAAAGUUCUCCAUGAUCUUCAUGGAGAUCUAUCCGAUGUAAUCUUCUUUGGCGGUGUGUUUGUCGAGAUCCGAUGAAUUGUGGAUUUGUGAUCAGAUUAUCUAUGAUAUAUAUUUGAGUCUUUGCUGAUUUCUUAUAUGCAUGAUUUGAUAUCCUUGUAAGUCUCUCCGAGUCUUGGGUUUUGUUGGCCAACUAGAUCUAUGAUUCUUGCAAUGGGAGAAGUGCUUGGUUUUGGGUACUACCAUGUGGUGACCUUUCCCAGUGACAGUAGAGGCAGCAGGGCACACAUUAAGUAGUUUCCAUCAAGGGUAACAAGAUGGGCUCUGUCAUUGAUAUGAGAUUGUCCAUCUACAUCAUGUCAUCUUGCUUAAGGCGUUACUCUAUUCUUUUGGACUUAAUACACUAGAUGCAUGCUGGAUAGCGGUGGACGUGUGGAUUAAUAGUAGUAGAUGCAGACAGUAUCGGUCUACUUGUUUUGGACGUGAUGCCUAUAGAUAUAAUCAUUGCCAUAGAUAUCUUCAUGACUUUGCGCGGUUCUAUCAAUUGCUCGACAGUAAUUUGUUCACCCACCGUCUACUUGCUUUCAUGAGAGAAGCCACUAGUAAACACUACGCCCCCCGGGUCUAUUCACAUCUAUCGUUUCCACUCUCGCUUUUACUUUGCUUUGUUACUUUGUUGCUUUCAGUUCUCACUUGGCGAACAAUCUAUAAGGUAUUGACGACCCCUUCAUAGCGUUGGGAGCAAGCUUUUUGUGUUUGUGCGGGAUCUUGCGAUACUCCUCCACUGGAUCGAUACCAAGGUUCUCAAACUGAGGGAAAUACUUACCACCGAUGUGCUACAUCACCGUUUCCGCUUCGAGGGAACACCAACGCAAGACUCCAAGGCCACGGGGGAAAUCCUUUGCAUAUUUGCCUAGGAAGUCCCUUAAGGCGUAGCCGCAACAGAAGGAUUCCUGGUGCCGUCGACACGACUAUUCCUGGCGCCGUUGCUAGGGAAGCACAGCUGACAUCAGAAGUAUUUCUGGCGCUGUUAUCGGGGAGGAGAGAUCGAGAUCUAUCCAAGUAGGUCUCGCAAACUCAUCUCCUGCAUUUACUUUUUUGCCAGUUGCCUCUCGUUUACCUCUCCCCCACUUCACAUUUGCCGUUUUCAUUUGCCUUUCUCCUUCGCCGUUUUCUUUUGCCUUUGUCAUUUCCCUUUGCCGGUUUUCUUGCUUGCUUGUGUGCUUGUUUGUUUGUUGAAGUCAUCAUGGCUGAAAACACCAAACUUUGUGACUUCUCGAGCACUAAUAAUAAUGAUUUUAUUAGUAAUCCGAUUACUCCCGCCACUAGUGCGGAAUCGUAUGAAAUCAACGCAGCUUUGCUGAAUCUUGUUAUGAAAGAGCAAUUCUCUGGCCUUCCUAGUGAAGAUGCCGCAUCCCAUCUCAACACCUUCAUUGAGCUUUGUGAUAUGCAAAAGAAAAGAGAUGUGGAUAACGGCGUGAUUAAGUUGAAACUUUUUCCUUUCUCGUUGCAAGAUCGCGCAAAAACUUGGUUUUCUUCUUUGCCUAAAAAUAGUAUCGAUUCUUGGGAUAAGUGCAAAGAUGCUUACAUAUCCAAGUAUUUUCCGCCGGCUAAGAUCAUCUCCUUACGUAACAAUACCAUGAAUUUCAAGCAACUUGAUCAUGAACACGUUGCACAAUCUUGGGAGAGGAUGAAGCUUAUGAUUAGAAAUUGUCCCGCUCAUGGCUUGAGUUUGUGGAUGAUUAUACAAAUCUUUUACGUUGGCUUGAAUUUUGCUUCUCACAAUAUCUUGGACUCCACCUCAGGUGGAACGUUCAUGGAAAUCACGUUAGGAGACGCUACAAAACUCCUAGACAAUAUCAUGACCAACUACUCUCAGUGGCACACUGAAAGGUCACCUGCUAGCAAAAAGGUGCACUCUAUAGAAGAGAUUAACUCGCUUAGUGCUAAGAUGGAUGAGUUGAUGAAUAUGGUUGCUAGUAGAAAUGCUACUAUAUAUCCUAAUGACAUGCCACUAUAUUCUUUGAUUGAGAGUAGCAACGCUAGUUUGGACGUGAAUUUUGUUGGUAGGAACAAUUUUGGCAACAACAAUGCUUUUAGAGAAACUAUGUUCCUAGGCCUUUUCCUAGUAACUCCUCUAACAACUAUGGCAAUUCCUACAACAACACUUAUGGAAAUCACAACAAAUUACCCUCUAAUUUAGAGAGUAAUAUCAAAGAGUUCAUUAACUCUCAAAGGACUUUCAAUGCGUCCAUAGGGGGAAAACUACUCAAAAUAGACGAUUUGGCUAAGAGCGUUGAUAGGAUGUCUUGUGAUAUUGAUGCUUUGGAAGUUAGAUGCGCUCCUCCCAAGGUCAACUUGGACGAAACUUUGAAAGCUAUGCGUAUCUCGGGGGGGGGGGGGGUGAACGAGAGAAAAGAAAGAACCGCCCAAAUUCGCACUAGACAUGAAUGGUUUACAAGGGUGCGUUCUAGUGAUGCAAAUCACGAGGAUCUUAAGGUGCUUGGUGUUUCUCCUCUUGAAUCUUUGUUUUCGCGUGUCAAACCUAUUUAUGGAGGGGCUGGAUAUGAAUCCACUUUGGUUGAAAAACGCCCCAAUGAUUUGGAGUCCACCCAUCUUGAUGAUAAAGGUGUGGAGAGUGGAGUAGAAGAAGUCAAACUUUUGGGUAGUAAUGAAACUCCCACUUUGGAUUUCAAGGAAUUCAAUUAUGAUAAUUUCUCCUUGUUUGAAUGCAUUUCAUUGAUGCAAUCCAUUGCAAACUCUCCACACGCUUAUAGCCAAAGCAAAGCCUUGACCGCACAUAUCGUAGAUGCUAUGAUGAAAUCUCUUGAAGAUAAGCUCGAACUAGAAGUCUCUAUACCUAGAAAACUUCAUGAUGAGUGGGAACCUACUAUCAAAAUCAAGAUAAAAAACUAUGAGUGCAAUGCUUUGUGUGAUUUGGGUGCUAGUGUUUCCGCGAUUCCAAAGUCUUUAUGUGAUAUUCUUGGUUUUCAUGAGAUUGAAGAGUGUUCUCUUAAUUUGCAUCUUGCGGAUUUUACUGUCAAGAAACCCAUGGGAAGGAUCGAUGAUGUUCUUAUUGUUGCAAAUAAGAACUAUGUACCCGUGGAUUUCAUUGUACUUGACAUAGAUUGCAAUCCUUCAUGUCCCAUUAUUCUUGGUAGACCUUUCCUAAGGACUAUUGGUGCUAUCAUCGAUAUGAAGGAAGUGAAUAUUAGAUUUGAAUUUCCUUUGAAGAAGGGCAUGGAGCACUUUCCUAGAAAGAAAAUAAGAUUGCCUUAUGAAUCUAUGAUGAGGGCUACUUAUGGUUUGAGCACCAAAGAUGACUAUACGUGAUUUCAUCACAUUUUGCCUAGCUAAGGGCGUUAAACAAAAGCGCUUGUUGGGAGGCAACCCAACGAAUCUAUCCUUUUUCUUUCUGUUUUGUGUUUUCCACACUUUCAUAAAUCUGUUACGAUUGUGUUUUUUGUGUUUGUUUUUGCGUUUGUGCCAAGCAAAACCGUUAUGAUUAGUCUUGGGGAUGAUCGUUUGGUCAUGCUGGAAAAGACAGAAACUUUCUUCUCACAAAAAGAAUUUUCAUUUUUUUCUGUAAGAGAUUUUGAGUUGACUCUUUUUUCUGCUGAUUUCUAUGCAAAUUCUUCAGACUGUCGUAAGUUUUCAGAACUUUUGAAGUACCAGAGGUAUACGAAAUAUACAGAUUGCUACAGACUUGUCUGCUGUUAACGGAUUCUGUUUUUGUUGUGUUGGUUGCUUAUUUUGAUGAAACUAUGGAUAGUAUCGGGGGGGGGGGGUAUUAGCCAUGGAAGAUUGAAAAUACAGUAAACCAACAUCAGCAUAAGUAGAAUUUAAGUUUUCUAUAGUACCUAAGGAAGUGGUGGUUUGCUUUCUCAUACUAAUGUUAUCGCGAGUUUCUGUUUAAGUUUCGUGUUGUGAAGUUUUCAAGUUUUCGGUGAAGUUCUUAUGGACAAAGAGAUAAAGAGUGGCAAGAGAUCAAGCUUGGGUAUGCCCAAGGCCCCCCAAGAGAUUAAAGGAUGCCGUAAAAGCCUAAGCUUGGGGAUGCCCCGGGAAGGCAUCCCCUCUCUCGUCUUCAAUCCAUCGGUAACGUUAAUUGGGGCUAUAUUUUUAUUCACCACAUGUUAUGUGUUUUUGCUUGGAGCGUCUUGUAUCAUAGGAGUCUUUUAUUUUUGUUGUGUCACAAUCAUCCUUUCUGCACACCUAGAGAGAGAGACAUGCACUCACCGUGAUUUUGUCGAGCUUCACUUAUAUCUUUUGGUAGACAAUUCAGCUCACAUGUGUUUCACUUAUAUCUUUUGAGCUAGAUACUUUUGCUCUAUGUGCUUCACUUAUAUCUUUUAGAGUGCAGAGGUGCGUGGCUUGGUAGUUGAUCUAUGCUUUGAAAGUAGUCCCAAAAGUGGUAGUUUUCCAAAUGGAUACGAAAACUUCCAUGUUCAUGUGCAUUGCAUAGUUAGAGAAGUUUGAUUCAUCUCAAUUAGUUUUGAGUUGUGGUUAUGGUAAUAUUGAAGUCAUUCUAGUAAGGUGUUGUGGAUCUAGAAAUACUUGUGUUGAAGUUAUUGAUUCCCGUAGCAUGCACGUAUGGUGAACCGCUAUGUGAUGAAAUCUGAGCAUGAUUAGUCUAUUGAUUGUCAUCCUUUGCGUGGCGGUCGGGAUCGCGCGAUGGUUUAUACCUACCAACCCUUCCCCUAGGAGUAUGCGUUGAAUGCUCUGUUUCGAUUACUAAUAAAACUUUUGCAACAAUUAUAUGAGUUCUUCAUGACUAAUGUUGAGUCCAUGGUUUAGAUGCACUUUCACCUUCCACCAUCACUAUCUACUUAGUGUCGUGCAACUUUCGAUGGUGCACAAAACCCACCAUUAGCCUCCCUCAAAACAGCCACCAUACCUACCUAUUAUCGCUUUUUCAAAGUCAUUCCGAGAUAUAUUGCCAUGCAACUACCACCAUGACAUGUGCCACCACAUCUACAUUUCCAUUGCAUGGUCGUAAGAUAGCUAGCAUGAUAUUUCCAUUAAUGUCUAUGCCAUGCUAGAUCAUUGCCACGGUACACUACCGAAGGCAUUCCAUAUAGAGUCAUAGUUGCUCUAAGUUUUGAGUUGAAAGUGUGAUGAUCAUCCUUAAUGGAGCAUUGUCCCAUGUGAGUAAAUAAAAGAGGCCAAAGAAGCCCACCAAAAAAAGAGGCCAAAGAGCCCACCAAAAAAAAUAUGAGAGAAAAAGAGAGAAGGGACAAUGCUACCACUAUUUCCACACUUGUGCAUAAUAAGCACCAUGAUCUUCAUGAUUGAGAGUCUCUCGUUCUGUCACCACCAUAUAGCUAGUAGGAAAUUUUCAUUAUAUAAAUUGGCUUGCAUAUUCCAAUGAUAGGCUUCCUCAAAAUUGCCUUAGGUCUUCGUGAGCAAGCAAGUUGGAUGCACAUCCACUAGUUUUCUUUAAGAGCUUUCACAUACUCGUAGCUCUAGUGCAUCAUUUGCAUGGCAAUCCCUACUCAUUCACAUUGAUAUCUAUUGAUGAGCAUCUCCACAGCUCAUUGAUAUGCCUAUUUAAUGUGACUAUAUUCUCCUUUUUUUGUCUUGCAACCUCCACUACACUCCACACCAUCUAUAGUGCUAUAACCAUGGCUCACGCUCAUGUAUUGCGUGAGAGUUGAAAAGGUUUGAGGAAGUAGAGGUGUGACACAAUCACAUGGCCAAUACCGGGGUUGUGCAUGAUUUAAAUUCGUUGUGCAAUGAUGAUAGAGCAUAGCCAGACUAUAUGCUUUCUUAGGGAUAACUUUCUUUUGGCCUUGUUAUUUUGAAAGUUCAUGAUUACCUUGCUAGUUUGCUUGAAUUAUUAUUGUUUCCACGUCAAUAGCAAACUAUUGAAUUACCUUGCUAGUUUUGAAUCUAAUGGAUCUGAACAUUCACGUGACAUAAGAGGAGUUACAAAGGACAUCUAUGCUAGGUAGCAUGAAAGCAUCAAAAAUUCAUUCUUUAUCACUUCCCUACUCGAGGACGAGCAGGAGUUAAGCUUGGGGAUGCUUGAUACGUCUCAAACGUAUCUAUAAUUUUUGAUGGUUUCAUGUUGUUAUCUUUUCAUCUUUCGAUGUUUUAUGUACCUUUUAUAUCUUUUGGACUAAUUUAUUAAUUCAGUGCCAAGUGCCAAUUCCUAUUUUUUCUGUGUUUUUGGCUCUUUUCAGAUCUGAUUUUGGAACGGAGUCUAAACGGAAUAAAAUCCCCGAAAAGAUUUUUUCCCAAACGGAAGAAGAUCAGGGGGCCUGUGGGCCAAGCCAGGAGGGCUCCAGGGAGCCCACAAGCCCCCACUCUGCCACCAGGGCGGGAGGCGGCGGUGGCAGGGCUUGUGGCCUCCCUAAGCACCCCCUGACCUAGAUCUUUGGCCUAUAUAUUCCCUAAAAUACAGCAAAAAAUCAGGGGAGCCUCGAAAAUACUUUUCCGCCCCCGCAAGCUUCCGUUUCCAUGAGAUCUCAUCUGGAGACCCUUCUCGGCGCCCUGCCGGAGGGGACUUUGGAGUUGGAGGGCUUCUUCAUCAUCAUCAUCGCCCCUCCAAUGACUCGUGAGUAGUUCACUUCAGACCUACGGGUCCGUAGUUAGUAGCCAGAUGGCUUCUUCUCUCUCUUGGAUCUUCAAUACAAAGUUCUCUAUGAUCUUCAUGGAGAUCUAUCCGAUGUAUUCUUCUUUGGCAGUGUGUUUGUCGAGAUCCGAUGAAUUGUGGAUUUGUGAUCAGAUUAUCUAUGAUAUAUAUUUGAGUCUUUGCUAAUUUCUUAUAUGCAUGAUUUGAUAUCCUUGGAAGUCUCUCCGAGUCUUGGGUUUUGUUUGGCCAACUAGAUCUAUGAUUCUUGCAAUGGGAGAAGUGCUUGGUUUUGGGUUCUACCAUGUGGUGAACUUUCCCAGUAACAGUAGGGGCAGCAAGGCACACAUUAAGUAGUUGCCAUCAAGGGUAACAAGAUGGGCUCUAUCGUUGAUAUGAGAUUGUCCAUCUACAUCGUGUCAUCUCGCUUAAGGCGUUACUCUGUUUUUUUGGACUUAAUACACUAGAUGCAUGCUGGAUAACGGUCGACGUGUGGAGUAAUAGUAGUAGAUGCAGACAGUAUCGGUCUACUUGUUUUGGACGUGAUGCCUAUAGAUAUAAUCAUUGCCAUAGAUAUCGUCACGACUUUGCGCGGUUCUAUCAAUUGCUCAAUAGUAAUUUGUUCACCCAUCGUCUACUUGCUUUCAUGAGAGAAGCCACUAGUAAUCACUACGCCCCCCGGGUCUAUUCACAUCUAUCAUUUCCACUCUCGCUUUUACUUUGCUUUGUUACUUUGUUGCUUUCAGUUCUCACUUGGCGAACAAUCUAUAAGUGAUUGACAACCCCUUCAUAGCGUUGGGAGAAAGCUUUUUGUGUUUGUGCAGGAUCUUGUGAUACUCCUCCACUGGAUCGAUACCAAGGUUCUCAAACUGAGGGAAAUACUUACCACCGAUGUGCUACAUCACCCUUUCCCCUUCGAGGGAACACCAACGCAAGGCUCCAAGGCCACGGGGGAAAUCCUUUGCAUAUUUGCCUAGGAAGUCCCUUAAGGCGUAGCCGCAGCAGAAGGAUUCCUGGUGCCGUCGACACGACUAUUCCUGGCGCCGUUGCUAGGGAAGCACAGCUGACAUCAGGAUGACCUUCUCCCUGGCUCGAGGAGCGCUCCCCAGUGGACAUGGCAGAGGGGCGGCGGUGAUGACGGCAGAGAGCGGUGUGGUGGCGACGGUGCUUCCUGUGAGCACUACUCUAACCCUAGAUCGGAAGGGGAUGUCGGUGGGGAGACUGGCGGCACGGUGAACCUCGUACUGCAUGCCCCAGCCCCCACCUCUUUAUAUAGCGCAGGUCACGGGGGCCCACCAAGUUUGGUUGGGCGCCCCCGAUGAGGGCGCGAUGCAAGGGUCCGGUGGACCGUUGGGCCCACACAAAAGAGAGAUCAUCCUAACAUUCUCCCCCUUGAUCUCAACUUUUCUUUUAACUUUAUAUUGUGAUAAUUUCAUAACCGAUUAGUACAUAGAGCAUGUUUCAUCGUCAAAGCUCAAUUGUCGAUAGAUUCAGACAGCUACAACAUACCUCUCUAUUUUGAAACGAAUUCUGUUACUUUUGGGCCUCUCAUGAUCCAGGAAUCAUAGGCUUUCCCUUAAACCCAUGUCAUCUAAGUGUUCCUUGAACACAUUGGGUGGUAAGCCUUUCGUUAGCGGAUCCACAAGCAUAUCCUUUGUCCUUAUAUGCUCGAGACUUAUAGUGUGAUCUUGGAUUUUAUCUUUCACAACAUAAUACUUUAUGCCUAUUACCUUGGUAGCAUUACUCGACUUGUUGUUGUGAGCAUAGAAUAUUGCGGGCUGGUUGUCACAGUACAUGUUUAGUGCUUUGUGAAUACAAUCUACCACUUUCAAGUCGGGUAUAAAUUUCUUUAACCAUAUCACCUGCCCGGUGGCUUCAAAACAUGCUAUAAACUUUGCUUGCAUCAUGGACGAUGCGACUAUGGACUACUUGGAGCUUUUCCACGAAAUAGCUCCUCCAGCGAGAGGGAACAUCCUGACAUGGACUUUCUAUCAUCUCUGUCUCCCGCAAUAUAUGAGUCUGAAUACCCUUUUAUCUCUAGGGAAUUAGAUCUUCUAUAUGUUAGCAUGAUGUCCUUUGUGCCUUGCGCUUAAUGCAAUGCUUUAUUUACCAUAUUCGAGUGCUCUAGGCAUGGAUUCUCUUGAUAUCUACCGAGUACCCCGGUAAUAAAAGCUAAGUCAGGGUGAGUGCACACUUGUGCAUACUAUAACUUCCAACAGCCGAAUAUAUGGCACUGCUUUCAUUUGAUCGAGCUCGUACAGGUUCUUGGGACAUUGGAAUUUCCCAAAAUCGUCGCCCUUGACUAUAGGAGCAGGUGUGGCCUUACUCGCAUGCAUAUUAUACUUUUUUAGAACCUUUUCUAAAUAUGCUUUUUACGAUAGUCCUAAGACUCCAUUUUUCCUAUCCCGGUGAUUUUCAAUGCCCAAAACUUAUGAAGCAUCACCAAGAUCUUUCAUAUCAAAGUUUGAGGAUAAAAACUUCUUUGUUUCUUGUAGUAGACUAACACCAUUGCUAGGAAGCAAGAUAUCAUCCACAUACAAGAUUAGGAAAAUGGAUUUCCCAUUUUUGAACUUUGCAUAAACGCAGUUAUCCUCAACAAUUUCUUUAAAUCAAAAACUUUUAGUUGUAUCAUUAAACUUCAAAUACCACUGUGUGGAGGCUUGCCUUAGUCCAUAAAUGGAUUUCUUCAAGCGGCAUCCCAUAUCUUCCUUGCCUUCCAUGAUAAAACCCUUGGGUUGUUUCAUGUAGACAUUUUCUUCUAAAUCUCCAUUUAUAAAUGUCAUCUUUACAUCCAUUUGAUGCAACUCUAAAUCAAAAUGUGCAACUAAUGCCAUUAUGAUUCUGAAGGAAUCCUUACAUGAGACUGGGGAAAAAGACUCAUUGUAAUCUAUCCCUUCUCUUUGUGUAAAUCCCUUUGCCACAAGUCAUGCUUUUUUACUUUUCUAUAUUCCCAUUAGAGUCAUACUUAGUUUUGUAGACCCAUUUAUAGCCUACUGUUUUGGCUCCUUAAGAAUAAUUUCUAAGUCCCAAACAUCGUUGGAAGUCAUCGAGUUCAUCUCGUCUUUCAUUGCCUCCAGCCACUUCAAUGAGUGAGGGCUUAUCAUAGCUUCUUCAUAUGAAGCGGGAUCACCUUCCAUAUGAACCAAUUCUGUAUUAUAAACUUUAUGAUCGGUAGAAACAGCUGAUCUUCUUGUUCUGUUAGACCUUCUAAGUGCCUCAUUCUUUCGCAAUUUUGUGCCUUAACUUCUGGCACAUCUUCUUAAAUUGGCUGCUGCACCUCUCUUUCAUGUUCAACAAUAGGCUCAGUCGGAUCUUGAAGGACAGGUGUCGGGUCUUCUCCCAUAGUUGUCAUGGUCGGAGUCACAAAAGGUAGUGAGAAAAAUGGCUCUAGAAUCAUCGAAUUAGGUUCAUGCACCCUCUUCUCCUCAAGAUCAAUUUUCCAAGCUACCAUGCUCCCCCUCAUCAUUUCGUCCUCUAAGAAGACUGCAUGUCUUGUUUCUACAAACUUUGCAUAUCUUUCUGGACAGUAGAAACAAAAACCCUUUGAUCUAUCAGGAUAGCCAAUGAAGCAGCAACUUAUUGUUUUGGAAUCUAACUUUGCAAUGUUUGUAUUAAACACUUCGCCCUCAGCUGGGCACCCCCACACCCUGAAGUGUUGCAGGGAUGGCAAUUUUACUGUCCACGGCUCCUACGGUAUUUUGGGCACCGACUUGCUUGCUACUCUCUUGAGAAUGUGAAUGGCGGUUUUAAGCGCCUCCAUCCAUAAUCCCAAUGGACAGUUGGAGUAACUCAUCAUGUUGCAUACCAUAUCCAUAAGUGUAUGGUUACGCCUUUCAGCUACUCCAUUUUCCUCAGGCUCGCCCGAUGUUGAAUAAUGGGCUACUAUGCCAGUCUCCUACAAGAACUUUGCAAAAGGUCUAGGGACUUAGCCAUAUGGAGUGUGCUGAUCGUAGUAUCCCCCCCCCCCACACACGAUCAGAUCUCACUAUCUUUAUUCUUUUGUGAAGCUAUUUUAUAACUUCAACUUUGAAUAUUUUAAAUUUAUCCAAUGCUUCAUUUCUUUCUUUUAUUGGAUAAAUAUAACCAAAUCGUGAGUAAUCAUCUCUGAAUGUUAUGAACGAGUCAUAGCCAUCCACACUUUUCAUAGAAAAUGGUCCACAAAUGUCAGUGUGAAUUAUUUCGAGUGUUCAUGUGCUUCGGUUUGCAUACUUUUUGAUUUGUUUUACAUACUUUCCUUUAACACAAUCAAUGCAUUGUUCUAAAUAUGCAAACUCUAGUGGAUGAAUAAUCUCACUUUUAAUUAGUCUUUCUAUUCCCCCCUUCGAAAUAUGGCCCAAGCAACAAUGCCAUAAUUUCGAUGAGUCAUGAGUUCUCUUUCUUUUCUUUUGUUCUUUGUUCGACGAGGAAACUUGUUCAUUCACAUUACACACAUAAUGCAAUUUUCACGAAGUGAUAAUAAAUAAAGCUCAUUGUGAAGUAAAGCAUCACCCACAUAAGCAUUAUUAAAUCAUAUGGCACACUUGCCUGUCCAAAAUAACAUUCAUAAUGUUCUUUAUCCAAACAUGAAACACUAAUUAAAUUUCAGUGACAUGAAGGAACAUAUAAAACGUUUGUAAGCAAAAUCUUGAAUUCGUCAGUGAAAUCCAAGGGGAUGUCGCUGACAUCUUCAACUUCUGCUUGGACACCAUUUGCGACUUCAAUGCUUCUUUCGCUUCUUCGCCUAGUCCUCUUCGAAUGGAAUCCAUGUAACGAAUUUGCAACAUGAACAGUUGCAGCUGAGUCAAUCCACCAAGUAGAUUUCGAAAACUAUGUAUACAAGUAUUUAUUUACAAAGGAAACAAUGUUGUUACCUCUCUUUGCCAUUAUGGACUUUAACCAAUCGGGGCAAUCAUUCUUGUAAUGCCCAGCCUUUUUGCAGUGGAGACAAGUGUCUUUGUCCACUAGAAAAGACUUCUGCUGAUGGUGAUACUGCAUGGAAGAUUUUCCAUGUGGCUUUGAAGGGGAACCAUUGCUAUUGUGAUUGAAGUUCCUUUUGUUUUCCUUCACAUAGUUCAGAGAGCCACCAUCAGAGGUUUCAAGUCUCUCCUCUUCUUGAACGCACAUGGCUAUGGUAUUUUCUAUGCCCCAUUUCUCAGGCGACAUGUUGUAGUUGACAAUGAAGGUCUCAAACUCUUUCGGCAAUGAAGCCAUAAACAUGUGGACAAGGAGCACAGGUUUGAGCUCCAAGUCCAAAUCCAUGGGUUUUAGCUUAGCUGCCAUGUUGCUCAUCCUCAGGAUGUGCUCUCUUAUGCCAUGUCCACCGCUUGUGUACUUUUCUGUCACCAGUUGUUUUAGCAAUUGAGUGGCAUAAUUAAAUCAUUGAAGAACGAGUGAACUGGCUCUUUAUCUUUUCGAGGAACUCCCUUGUGGAAGCACACUCUAGAAUUGAGCCCGCAAUAGCAUUCUCAAUCGUCUUCUUUACAAAGGCCAUACACGUUUUGUCGACGGUGUGCCACUUUUGUUUGUCGAGGGUGUAUGACAUCUCCAAUGGAGCAUAAUCCCUCCUCUUUCAUCCCAUGCAGCAUCAUCAUUAGUUGUCUCUCUGACUGGCUCUGUACGUGUGACCAGUUGUGGAGUAUCCACAACCUAGUCCACCUCAGCACAAACAAAAUCCAUAUCGACUUUCUUUCUCCGUUGAGAGUAGUUGUCACCUCUGAGGGUCGGAAUCUCCUUGAUGCAGCUCAUCAUGUAAAACCCUCCUGAAAAACCACAAUGAAAUGAGAUCGUGGCAACAGUUGCAUGCAUUAAUCCGAUAUUGGUCAAAAUUAAACCAUACAACUGUUUAUGCAAAUGAAACUUUAUUAUCGUUGGAUAUAAUUAGAAAUAAAUGCACCUUUUACAACAAUAAUAAAUCCUUAUUAUGUUAUUAACAACGCUGGUCAUAUAAUAACAUAACCAUAUUUAUUUCAAUAAUCACUUUAAUAUGCUAUUAAUAUUUAACUAUCAUUAAAACUUUAUUUUCUCUUAAAAAGCAAUAUUAUUUAUUUGCAGCGGAAAAAACAUGAAUAAAAUUCAUGAAACUUUAUACUUUCCCCAUCUUUUAUUUCUGACACUUUUUAUUUUUCUAGGCAAAUUUAUGGAACUUUAUACUUUUUCAGAGUCUUUAAUUUGAAUAGAAAAACUAUGUUAAAAUCUGCACACAAAAAGAACUGGACAAUACAGAAACUUCUAAAACAAUUGGUCACGGCUGUCUGGACCGAAACCGACCCAUUCGCCGAGCGCCCGAGCCCUCUCCCACGUGGCUCACUGCCUAGGGUGCCGAUUGGCCAGUCUGGGCCAAAAGCUGACCCAGCCAAGCUCCCACCGGCCUGGUGCCUGGCUAGGGUUUGCGUCGCUGCCCUCGGAUCGAAUCGGACAGUCGAGCGUGCAUCUCGCCCAAGCAAAAACGAAGUGCUGCGGGGCGGGGGAGCCCUAGCUCAUUUCCUUCCCCCACGCGUCGCUUGUACCUCUCUGCCUUCGCUCCGCGGCGGCGACUAUUCCAACGGCCGGCGACGGCGUCAGACUCCCGCGCCGCGCUUUUCUCCCCUACCCUCUUUCUCAUUUCUGCCCUUUCUUUCUGCGCUCGUGCGCCCUCGCAUCGAGGUAGACAACGACGAUGGCAGCGGAGCACGCGGCGGCGCGAUGAGGCAGUGCCCCCUCUGUUCCCCUUGCUGGUGUGCGCGCGCUCCCAAAGGAGAGCACGCCAUGGUCAAGCUGCAUAGCGGUGGUGCCUCUUUGCCCCUCUCGGGGUGAGUUCUUCUUCCCGAGUCUCGGCUUGCCGAUGCACUACGUGAUCGAAAGGAGCGACACGCCCGGUGCGGCGACACUCUUUGCCGGCUUGCCCAAGGCCUUCUUCCGGUGAGCUUUGUCUGGUUGUUGUUCUUUGCCCUGUUCUAGGGAUCUUCGUGGGGAGGGGAUUCAUUUUCCUUUCUUUUGCUACUACUGAAAUUCAUUACCGAAUGGCUAUGUUACCAUUGUAAGAUUACUUUGGAUCGGAUCGGUAGGAUAUUCACGGUAGUGCAGAUUAUGAGAUGGGGAUUACCUUCUCCCUGGCUCGAGGAGCUCGUCCCAGUGGCCAUUGUAGAGGGGCAGCGGUGAUGACGGCACAGAGCAGUGUGGCGGCGGUGGUGCUUCCCCUGAGCACUACGCUAACCCUAGAUUGGAAGGGGAUGUCGGUGGGGAGACUGGCGGCACGGUGAACCUUGUACUACGUGCCCCGACCCCCACCUUUUUAUAUAGCGUAGGUCACAGGGGCCCACCAACUAUAGUUUGGUUGGGCGCCCCCGAUCAGGGCACGAUGCAAGGGGUCCGAUGGGCCGUUGGGCCCACACGGAAGAGAGAUCAUCCUAACAGUUGGAUCUUGUGGGGCGUGUGAAUGCUUUUCAUCAGUUGGUCAUAGAUCUAGCGUGGGUGGAUGUGAAUAUUAAGGACGAGGAUAAGGCACUAGUUCUUCUUGUUUCAUUGCCACUGUCCUAUGAGCAUUUGGCCAUUACGUUGACACAUGGAGAGGCAACCAUCAAUAAUGAGGAAGUCACGACAAUGUUGCUUGGACAUGAGUUGAGGAACUAAAAGAAUGCUGCUGAAAGGGAUACUACUCAAAAUUUUGGGGUUGGCAGGUAAAGGUAAUCAUCUUAGGAAGGGAUAAGAGAUGGAGAACAAAAAGAAGAAAAAGGUGCAGUGCUACAGGUGCAAGGACUGGGGACAUAUAAAGAGGGAAUGCCCAGAACUGAAGGGUGAGGCUAGUGCUAACCUGUCUACUCAUGGUGGUGACUCACACAACAGUAGUAAUACCCUCUUAGUUUCAGACAGACGGUCAACUAGAACUCAAGCAUGGAUGUUAGAUUUAGCUUGCUCUUUUCAUGUGACGCCCAACAGGGAGUGGUUCUAUUCGUACAAGUCUGGUGAGUUUGGUUUCGCCUAUGUGGGUGAUAAAACUCGUUAUUGUGUUGUCGGAAUAGGUGACAUCAAAAUCGAGAUGUUUGACGGAGUUGAGCGGAUGCUUCGGGGAGUCAGGUAUGUGCCUGGGCUAACACUACAAGAAAUAUGCUAACUUGCGACCUUCAAUAUUGGUCACCGAAUGGUCGUUGAUUUCCAUUUGCGACCUUUUUAUGACCAAAAAUAGGUGGUCAAAAGUUGAGGGUCUCUAAUGAACUAUAACGACCUUACUGCAGGAAUCAUCGUAGAAUUUUACGACCAAACAAAAGGUCGUUGGUUCUACGACCAAUCAUGUUGGUCGUUGGUUGUUUGCCCAGGCCAUGUCAGAUCCAACGUGGCAAGCUGACAUGGCAAAGUUGUGACGAAAUGAAAAGGUCAUUGAUUAGAAUCAUCCCGGUCCAAUUUGGUGUCUAUAUUGGCCGAGCCCAAUAAUUCAGCCCAUUUAAUAUAUUAUUUUCUGCUAUUUUUUGUUAGCAACGUGGGCCUGGCCCAACUUUCGGCCUUUUAAUUUCUUGGCCAUAGCCUUUUUGUACCAACGUUUUUAGUUUUUUUUUAUAAAAUGGGUCCACUAGUCAAAAAGGUCCCACUUAUCAGGUUCUGAUAAGUGAGUCACAGCUAUUAGGCUCAGAUUCUACAUAUUUCAAUUUGACAGUAAAAUAAUACCAAUAUUUGAAUGGGCAAGCAGAAAACACACAUAAUACUUCAAAUAACAAUAGCCUGAUUCAAUACAAGCUCUACAAAUAACACAUAAUACAAGAUGUAACAUAUACAAUAUUUUACAAGCUCUACAAGUGUAAUACCAGUUACAAGUUGUACAAGUGUUUUCUUCUUCAGCAUGGUGCUCCUUCGAGAUAGCGAUAAAAUGUUCUACUCAUGGGCACCCAUAGUCAGGAUGGGAUAAUAGAAUGACAACAUGUCUUAAACGGUCGCCCUGUUACAUGAACCGGUUGAGAAGAAUUAGAAAAACUGGAGCCAAUAUAUUAUGAUCAUUCCAUUCAAAAAAGGAGUAAAGGACAAUUAUUUAUAGAAUGAUAAACAUAUUUCAGCUAGUACCGUGCUUUUUAGCUGAGCUAGUUAAAAUGAGAUAGUACUAAUGCAGAAGAAACUUUUGCAUGUCUAUACAAGCAAACAUUACAAAAGUGCAAUUCUUAUUUUCAUCUCACUCCAAAAAAGUGGCUCUAUGAAAAAACCAAACAUACAACACAAAAACAAACUCAAAUUGAUCUGAUAGCUCAUGUUUAAAUUUUAAUGGUAGCUCAUGUUGAAACAAUAAUCAGCUAAUGGCCUUUACAGCAAGAUAUACACAAGGAAUAGACUGGAUGAAGCUCAUGGAUCCUAAAUAUACAAGUUAUUAUACAAGAUGCAGGUUGUCACUAAAAAUUGCAGAGCGUACUAUCAGAGAACCCUUUCAUUUUGAAAAGAAUUUAUGCUCCAGAAUUUGGCAGCUUUUUAUAUGUCAAAGAACAAACAUUUUUAGGGAGAACCAAUAUUGAGAACUGCAUUCUAUCAUCAUGAUUGCAAAUACAUGGAUCAAUCCAAAAGGGGGGGGGGCAAUAAUGUAUACACAACAUCAAACAAUAGACAAUGAUGGAUCCAAUAGCUUGUAAAGCAAGAAUUGGCAACAAAAUUUAUGUACAUAAAUAGUACUCCCUCUAUUCGUAAAUAUAAGACCUUUUAGAAAUUUUAAUAUAUACUACAUACAGAGUAAAAUGAGUGAAUGUACACUCUAAAAUAUAUCUAUAUACAUCCGUAUGUAGUACAUAUUAAAAUUUCUAAAAGGUCUUAUAUUUAGGAACGGAGGGAGUAUGACUAACACUAAGCAGUAUGUGUACAUGGAGUUUUUGGUAUAUAGUAUACUAACUUGUGCAACUCUAACUAAAUUGAACGUAAAAAUAAAAAGACCUGCAAGAACAAGUUCAAUCAGAAUCCAUGCAUGUAAAAUUUUGAACACCAACAUAACAAAUCUAGCAAACGAGACCAUGAUCAUCGUGCAUUAGGAAUUAUGAUUCUUGCAAAAUUGAUGAUUUGCGUCAGGUUGGUGUUGAGUAGUUGUGUCCACACCGUUGCUCGCAACAAUACCUGCUAACAUAAGAAAAAUUGGUGAUCUUGUCAAUAUCAUUCCAAGUCUAUGAAAUUAAAAAAAUGUGGUAGGAAAUAAGUGAGAUAUGACUACUAUGGUGCUCAAGUAGUUAAUAUAAAGCAGUCAUGCAGUAUGUAAUGUAGAUGUGAACUGUUAUUCUAAAUUUCUAGUGCAAAACAUAUAAGAGUGGCCAAGGGUGCGGUGAUCUGAAUCUAUGGGUAGAUAAUCACAUACAGUGCAAUGUGUACUCCAUAAGUUCAUAUGACACAAAUGGAUCCACACAUGUUAUCUGUUUUGAAUUGUGUAAGUGCAUCUAGUGCCCCUUAGUGAUUUUGGUGGUUUGAAGACUUAUAGGUUAAGUAUCUAAUGUGUUUGUGAGUGUACACAGGAUCUAUAAGUCAUUGAGGAGUUUGAGAUAUUUGAAGAAUAUCGACCCCUAAAAAUAUAUGUCUUUAGUUGAAGAAAUUGGUCUGAAGCUGAAGAAAUGAAUCGCGAGGAAUCUGCGAUGAAAUUGAUAUUCCUCAUGAAGAUACUGAUAUUGAGAAGUCCGGUGGUUCCUGAAGAAAAUCAUUCUGAAGAAUUUGAAGCAUGAAGAUUUACACUUUCUGUUUUACUUUCUUCGCAUUUGAGUAAUAGGAACACCGUACUGUUAAAGGGGGUCGAAGUUACACUAUGGAAUGAAUUUCCUCAUGAUGCUCAACCCAAGCCUAAUCCUACCAAAAGCCUCAAGUGAGGAAUAUGAGUGACAUGAGGACUCUCAUAGUUGAGGGUUCCGACCAUUUUGAUAACCACGCCAAGUCACUGGUCUUAUCCACUCCAACGGUCAUAUUAUUUAAGGGCAUUAGUGUCAAAUCAUGUCGGGAUGCUCCCAGGCUAUAAAUAGCCAGACCCCACAACCACUAGUUGGUUGGCUGCUCCGUUAGAAACUGACACUUGUCAUAAGAGCAACCCAAAUUCCUCAGAGUCUUCAAGAGUAAUUCAUCAGUGAGGAAAUACACCAUCCACCGAAACCACAAACCAAACCUAGUGAUUGAGCAUCACUGAAGAAGUUGUUCCUGUGUGGGACUGAGGCCUUUUACCUUUGAGGACUGUGCAUCCUCCAAACGGUUAGGCAUCAUGGUCUAGAGCGUUCCAGCAGUUAAUUGUGGAUCGUCGAGUGACCAAGUUUGUGAGGGUUUGGAAGUCUGCCCUGAAGACUUACCACGAGUGCUGGGCGAGGACUGUGUGUCCUUAGCUCAAAGAGAAUACGGUAGGGACUAUGUGUCCUAGGACUGGGUGUCCUUUGGUUUCAAUACCAAGUCGCUCCAAACCAGAUGUACGACUUUCACAACAGUUGGAACUGGUUCAUCAACGACUGUCUUCACUGAGAAACGGGUUCUAAUUCCUCAACACUUUAUUUUCCCUGUAUUAUGUGUUGAUGACUUUCACUAUAACUGUUUGAAGAAUUUGCUCAAGACUUUCUCCGAAUUUCCUCAACCCCAAAUUCUUCACAUUAGUUAAUCAUCAUCUGAAUUCUGCGUGCCUGCUCACUGUGCAAUCUUUUUUCACAUUCUUCACUCUGAAAUACUGCAGUUGUAAACGUUUGCACGUCUGAUCCUUUACUGUUUCCGCUGUAAGCUAGUCAUCAGUGAGGAAUUUCCUCAAAAGGAAUUUCCUCAGUUAUGAAAUUCUAAAAAUCUCCUAUUCCCCCCCCCCCCCCUCUAGUCGAUAUAACGCAUUUUCAAAUUGACAGCACAAACCUUGUAGAAAUAUAUAACAAUAGUGUAGAAUCAUCAAGCAUGAGAUAAUAGAUACUUUUUGAAUUACUGAGAAAAUCCUUAGUUUCUCUGAUUGAAGCAUGCGAUUGGGACUAGGGAGUAAAACUGGGUAUGUCGUAAUUCUUGUUUCCUCUUAUUCUGACGAUGCUUUAGAGCCAGCUGAGCAACCAGAAUAACUGCAACCAGGUUUGCUUUAGCACCAACUUCCAGACCUGUGCAUUAAAUUGUUGGAGAUCAAUUUGUCAAAGAACUAGAAUUCCUACUUUACUAGCAUAUUUUGUUAAACAAAGGCCUACAAAGGGGACGCGGUUGUUCUGCUCGCGAGCACAUGUGAGAGCUUUAUCCUAACGGCUUGGCAGGGCGUCAGGAUGUACAACAUUGAAUUACUGAGCCAAUUGGUUGAUCAUUUUUAAAACACGGAAAAGGGUAAUACGGUAUGCAGUUGCGUUCUACGCCAUGCCGAUGACGGAGCCCGCAGAUGGCAACGUGACGAGAGAUUCCUAGAGCCAUGGCUCGGGAUGGUUUUCUACUCCUGAUCCAUAGCCCCGGAAGUGGGAUUCCGGUAGGCGGCGGUGCGCAGGGUAGUAAAUGACAAAUCAGAUUCAAGGCGAGCAGUCGCAAGAUUCAAACGGCGCCAUAAACUGCAAGACGGCUGCUCAGCAUUGGAGAUGAAGUUUACCUGCGUGAUUUUACUUUGAGUGAUAAAUUGUUGUGUAUCUUAAUGUAAAGGGUAGAUAAAAAAAUGUGUUGUGCUGAUAACCGGCAAGUGUGGACUUUGUAUUCAGGUUUAAGGCUGGAUGAACUGUAUCUGUUAGACAUGGUGCCUGUAGUAUAAUAGUGGCUGGUGUUUCGUGAUUGAUAGUAUCAUCCAGCAAGUGCGCCCACCUUAUUAUCAGUAUGGAAAUAUGGAUUUGAUUAUUAUGUGAGGGAUUGAUUCCUAAUGAAUACCGAUUUCAAUUUUGGGCUCCAUCCUCAUAAAAGGGUUUGAAUGGACUGUCGGCGUCCAGGACAGAAUCUGUAUGCGAACGGCUCAUGUCGUCGGACGCCUGAGCCGAUAGUCUGCUAAACAAACGCCAUCGGUUCUGUUACGUGUCUGAUGUGGGCCAUCAGAUUUGGAAAAUGGGGUAAUACAAUAGUUAUACCUAGGCCUAUACGUGCUGGGAUGGCCAUCUCGAAGCAAACGGACGGGAAUGAUAACGAUCGCACCUGCACUCGUCCAUAGAACAGCACUUUCGCUACAAAGUGAAUCAGGUUUUUGGUUCAUUUGUAGUUCAAUGCUUAUUCAGGCUGCUAAAUGAAGUCCAUGUGCGCGUCCUGCUUUGAUACUAAACAAUGAUUAUUCAUGACAAGAACACACACAAAGUGCAGAUGAUUACAAAAUAUCAAACUUCAGGGUGUAGCAUUCAUUCACAUUUUAACAGUGUAGCAUUCUGAUGACCCACAAGUAUAUAGGGGAUCAAUCGUAGUCUUUUCGAUAAGUAAGAGUGUCGAACCCAACGAGGAUCAUAAGGAUCUGACAAGUGGUUUUUACUAAGGUAAAAUCUGCACGCACUGAAAUUGUCGGUAACAAGUGAUUGUGUAGUGAGAUGAUUCGUACAAAGCAACAAGUAACAAAAGUAGCAAUGGUGCAGCAAAGUGGUCCAAUCCUUUUUGUAGAAAGGGACAAGCCUCGACAAAGUCUUAUAGGAGGAAAAAUGCUCACGAGGACACACGGGAAUUUCUGUUAUGCUAGUUUUCAUCAUGUUCAUAUGAUUCGCGUUCGUUACUUUGAUAGUUUGAUAUCUGGGUGGACCAGCGCUUGGGUACUGCCCUUACUUGGACAAGAAUCCAACUUAUGAUUAACCCCUCUCGCAAGCAUCCGCAACUACGAAAUAAGAAUUAAGACAAAGUCUAACCAUACAUUAAACUAGUGGAUCCAAAUCAGCCCCUUACGAAGCAACGCAUAAACUAGGGUUUAAACUUCUAUCAAUCUAGCAACCCAUCAUCUACUCACUACUUCCCAAUGGCUUCCUCUAGGCCCAAAUAAUGGUGAAGUGUUAUGUAGUCGACGUUCACAUAACACCACUAGAGGAAAAACAACAUACAACAUAUCAAAUUACCGAACGAAUACCAAAUUCACAUGACUACUAUUAGCAUGACUUAUCCCAUGUCCUUNUCUAGCAACCCAUCAUCUACUCACUACUUCCCAAUGGCUUCCUCUAGGCCCAAAUAAUGGUGAAGUGUUAUGUAGUCGACGUUCACAUAACACCACUAGAGGAAAAACAACAUACAACAUAUCAAAUUACCGAACGAAUACCAAAUUCACAUGACUACUAUUAGCAUGACUUAUCCCAUGUCCUUAGGAACCAAAGUAACUACUCACAAAGUAUAAUCAUAUUCAUGACUAGAGAGGUAAUGAGUAGCAUCAAGGAUCUGAACAGAAACUCUUCCACCAAAUAAUCCAACUAGCAUCAACUACAAAGAGUAAUCAACACUACUACCAACCUUGCAAGUACCAAUCAGAGUCGCGAGACAGAGAUUGGUUACAAGUGAUGAACUAGGGUUUGGAGAUGAGAUGGUGUUGAUGAAGAUGUUGAUGGUGACGAGUCCCCUCCGAUGAGAGGAGGGUUAGUGAUGACGAUGGCGAAGAGUUCCCCCUCCGGGAGGGAAGCUUCCCCGGCAGGAUCAUCCUGCCGGAGCUCUAGAUUGGUUCUGCUCAAGUUCCGCCUCGUGGUGGCGGCGAAUCCACGAAAAAGCUCCUCCCUGAUAUAUUUUUCUGGACGAAACCCUGCAUAUAGCAGAAGAGGGGGGGCUAGUGGGCCAGCAAGCUGCCCACGAUCCCUCAUGGCGCGGCCUGGGGGGUGGUCGCGCCGUGCAGGCUUGUGGCCACCUGCACGCGCUUGUGGCACUACUUCUGCGCAGUAUUUGUUGAGGAACGUAGCAUAAAUUCAAAAUUUUCCUACGCAUAUUCAGAUCUUCCUAUGGAGAUAACAGCAACGAGAGAGGGGUAAGAGCAUCUUCAUACCUUUGAAGAUCGCUAAGCGGAAGCGUUGCUAGAACGCGGUUGAUGGAGUCGUACUCGCAGCGAUUCCGAUCUAGUGCCGAACUACGGCACCUCCGCGUUCAACACACAUGCAGCCCGGUGACGUCUCCCGCACCUUGAUCCAACAAGGAGGAGGGAGAGGUUGGGGAAGAACUCCAGCAGCACGACGGCGUGGUGUCGAUGGAGAGACGAGGUCUCCCGACAGGGCUUCGCCAAGCACCGGCAGAGAGGAGUAGAAAGAAGGGCAGGGCUGCGCCGAGGGAGAGGGAGAAGUCUAUCUCCCAAUGGUCAAAAGUGCCCGGUAUAUAUAGGGGAAGGGAGGGGCUGCGCCCCCUUUAGGGUUUCCCCCUCCUAGGGGGGGGCGGCAGCCCUAGAUGGGGGCUGGUGCGGCGGCCAAGGGGGGAGGAGGGGUGUGGCGCACCCCUGGUGGGCCUUAGGCCCACCUGGCUUAGGGCUUGCCCCCUUUUCUCUCCCCUGCGCAUUGGACUGAGUGGGGAGACGCACCAGCCCACCUAGGGGCUGGUUCCCUCCCCCACUUGGCCCAUAUUACCUCCCGGGGCCAUUGCCCCCCUUCGGUGGACCCCCGGGGGGCCACCUCCGGUGGUCCCGGUACGUUACCGGUGAUGCCCGAAACACUUCCGGUGUCCGAAACCAUCCGUCCUAUAUAUCAAUCUUUACCUCCGGACCAUUCCGGAGCUCCUCGUGACGUCCGGGAUCUCAUCCGGGACUCCAAACAACUUUCGGUAACCUCGUAUAACAAUUCCCUAUAACCCUAGCGUCACCGAACCUUAAGUGUGUAGACCCUACGGGUUCGGGAGACAGGCAAACAUGACCGAGACACCUCUCUGGCCAAUAACCAUCAGCGGGGUCUGGAUACCCAUGGUGGCUCCCACUUGCUCCACGAUGGUCUCAUCGGAUGAACCACGAUGUCAAGGAUUCAAUCAAUCCCGUAUACAAUUCCCUUUGUCUCUCGGUAUAGACCUUGCCCGAGAUUCCAUCGUCGGUAUACCAAUACCUUGUUCAAUCUCGUUACCGGUAAGUCUCUUUACUCGUUCCGUAGCACGUCAUCGUGUGACUAACUUCUUAGUCUCAUUGAGCUCAUGAUGAUGUUCUACCGAGUGGGCCCAGAGAUACCUCUCCGUCACACGGAGUGACAAAUCCCGAUCUUGAUUCGCACCACCCCAACAGACACUUUCAGAGGUACGUGUAGUGCACCUUUAUAGUCACCCAGUUACGUUGUGAUGUUUGAUACACCCAAAGCACUCCUACGGUAUCCAGGAGUUGCACAAUCUCACGGUCGAAGGAAAAGACACUUGACAUUAGAAAAGCUUUAGCAUACGAACAACACGAUCUAGUGCUAUGCUUAGGAUUGGGUCUUGUCCAUCACAUCAUUCUCCCAAUGACGUGAUCCCGUUAUCAAUGACAUCUAAUGCCCAUGAUCAGGAAACCAUGAUCAUCUAUUGACUAACAAGCUAGCCAACUAGAGGCUUGCUAGGGACACAUUGUGAUCUAUUUAUUCACACAUGUAUUACUGUUUCCUGUUAAUACGAUUAUAGCAUGAACAAUAGACGAUUAUCAUGAACAAGGAAAUAUGAUAAUAACCAUUUUAUUAUUGCCUCUAGGGCAUAUUUCCAACAGUCUCCCACUUGCAUUAGAGUCAAUAAUCUAGUUACAUUGUGAUGUAUCGAACACCCAUAGCAUUAUGGUGUUGAUCAUGUUUUGCUCGUGGAAGAGGUUUAGUCAACGGGUCUGCAAUAUUCAGAUCCGUGUGUACUUUACAAAUAUCUAUCACUCCACUCUGGACAUGGUCCUGGAUUGAGUUGUAGCAGCGUUUGAUGUGUUUUGUCUUCCGGUGAAACCUGGGCUCCUUGGCUAUGGCAAUGGCCCAGUGUUAUCACAGAAGAGUGUCAUUGGACCCGACGCGCUUGGAACCACUCCAAGGUCGGUGAUGAGCUCCUUCAUCCAAAUUCCUUCAUGAGCCACUUCUGAAGCAGCUAUGUACUCCGCUUCACAUGUAGAUGCUGCCACGACUUCUUGCUUGCUGCUGCACCAGCUCACUGCCCCACCAUUCAACACAUAUACGUAUCCGGUCUGUGACCUUAGAGUCAUCCGGAUCUGUGUCGAAGCUAGCGUCGACGUAACCCUUUACGACGAGCUCUUCGUCACCUCCAUAAACGAGAAACAUUUCCUUAGUCCUUUUCAGGUACUUAAGGAUAUUCUUGACCGCUGUCCAGUGUUCCAUACCGGGAUCACUUUGGUACCUCCCUACCAAACUUAUGGUAAGGUUUAUAUCAGGUCUGGUACACAACAUGUCAUACAUUAGAGAGCCCACGGCUGAAGCGUAGGGGACAGAACUCAUCUUCUCUCUAUCUACUGCCGUGGUCGGUGACUGAGUCUUACUCAAUCUCAUACCUUGCAAAACUCGCAAGAACCCUUUCUUUGAGUUUUCCAUAUUGAACUUCUUCAAUAUCUUGUCAAGGUAUGUACUUUGCUAAAAACCUAUGAGGCGUCUUGAUCUAUCUCUAUAGAUCUUGAUGCCUAAUAUGUAUGCAGCUUCUCCAAGGUCCUUCAUUGAAAAACUCUUGUUCAAAUAGGACUUUAUGCUCUCCAACAUUUUUGUAUUGUUCCCCAUCAAUAAUAUGUCAUCCACAUACAGUAUGAGGAAAGCUACAGAGCUCCCACUCACUUUCUUGUACAGACGGGCUUCUCUGUAAACCUGUAUGAACCCAAACGCUUUAAUCACCUCAUUAAAGCGAAUGUUCCAACUCCGAGAUGCUUGCACCAGCCCAUAAAUGGAGCGCUGGAGCUUGCACACUUUGUUAGCACCCUUAGGGUCGACAAAACCUUCUGGUUGCAUCAUAUACAACUCUUCCUUAAGGUUCCCGUUAAGGAACGCUGUUUUGACGUCCAUUUGCCAAAUUUCAUAAUCAUAAAAGGCGGCAAUUGCUAACAUGAUUCGGACUGAUUACAGCUUUCCUACGAGAGAGAAAGUCUCACCUCCUUGAAUUUGUCGAAAACCCUUUGCGACAAGUCGAGCUUUGUAAACGGUUACAUUACCGUUUGCAUCAGUCUUCUUCUUGAAGAUCCAUUUAUUUUCUAUGGCUCGCCGGUCAUCGGGCAAGUCCACCAAAGUCCAUACUGUGUUCUCAUACAUGGAUUCUAUCUCGGAUUUCAUAGCUUCAAGCCAUUUGUUGGAAUCCGGGCCCGCCAUCGCUUCUUCAUAGUUUGAAGGUUCACCGUUGUCUAACAACAUGAUUUCCAUCACAGGGUUGCCAUACCACUCUGGUGCGGAGCAUGCCCUUGUGGACCUUCGUGGUUUAGUAGUAACUUGAUCCAAAGCUUCAUGAUCAUCAUCAUUAACUUCCUCUUCAGUUGGUGUAGGCGCCACAGGAACAACUUCCCGCGCUGUGCUACUAUCCUGUUCGAGAGGGGGUGUAAUUACCUCAUCAAGUUCUACCUUCCUCCCACUUACUUCUUUCGAGAGAAACUCUUUCUCUAGAAAGGAUCCGUUCUUGGCAACAAAGGUUUUACCUUCGGAUCUAAGAUAGAAGGUAUACCCAAUAGUUUCCUUAGGGUAUCCUAUGAAUACGCAUUUCUCCGCUUUGGGUUCGAGCUUUUCUGGUUGAAGUUUCUUCACAUAAGCAUCGCAGCCCCAAACUUUAAGAAACGACAACUUAGAUUUCUUGCCAAACCAUAGUUCAUACGGUGUCGUCUCAACGGAUUUAGACGGUGCCCUAUUUAAAGUGAAUGAUGCAGUUUCUAAUGCGUAUCCCCAAAAUGAUAGGGGUAAGUCAGUAAGAGACAUCAUAGAUCGUACCAUAUGUAAUAAAGUGUGAUUACGAUGUUCAGACACUCCGUUGCGUUGCGGUGUGCCAGGCGGCGUCAAUUGUGAAACGGUUCCACACUUCCUUAGGUGUGUGCCAAACUCGUGACUCAAAUAUUCUCCUCCACGAUCAGAUCGUAGACACUUGAUUUUUCUGUCACGUUGAUUCUCGACCUCACUCUGAAAUUCCUUGAACUUUUCAAAUGUCUCAGAUUUGUGCUUCAUCAAGUAGAUAUACCCAUACCUACUCAAAUCAUCGGUGAGAGUAAGAACAUAACGAUAGCCACCGCGAGCUUCAACGUUCAUCGGACCACACACAUCAGUAUGUAUUAUUUCCAAUAAGUCGGUUGCUCUCUCCAUUAGUCCUGAGAAUGGAGUCUUAGUCAUCUUGCCCAUGAGGCACGGUUCGCAUGUGUCAAACGAUUCAAAAUCAAGAGACUCUAAUAGUCCAUCAGUAUGGAGCUUCUUCAUGCGCUUAACGCCGAUAUGACCAAGGCGGCAGUGCCACAAGUAUGUGGGACUAUCAUUAUCAACUUUACAUCUUUUGGUACUCACACUAUGAAUAUGUGUAACAUCACGAUCGAGAUUCAUCAAGAAUAAACCAUUCACCAGCGGAGCAUGACCAUAAAACAUAUCACUCAUAUAAAUAGAACAACCAUUAUUCUCUGACUUAAAUGAGUAGCCGUCUCGCAUUAAGCAAGACCCUGAUACAAUGUUCAUGCUUAAAUCUGGUACUAAAUAACAAUUAUUAAGGUUUAAAACUAAUCCCGACGGUAGAUGUAGAGGUAGCGUGCCGACGGCGACCACAUCGACCUUUGAACCAUUCCCGACGUGCAUCGUCACCUCGUCCUUGGCCAGUCUCCGCUUAUUCCCCAGUUCCUGCUUUGAGUUGCAAAUGUGAGCAACAACACCGGUAUCAAAUACCCAGGAGCUACUACAAGCGCUGGUAAGGUACACAUCAAUAACAUGUAUAUCACAUAUACCUUUAACGUUGUCGGCCUUUUUGUCCGCUAUGUAUUUGGGGCAGUUUCGCUUCCAGUGACCUUUUCCCUUGCAAUAGAAGCACUCAGUCUCAGGCUUGGGUCCAUUCUUUUUCUUCUUCUCGGCAUCUGGCUUACCGGGCGCGGCAACAGCUUUGCCGUCUUUCUUGAAGUUCUUCUUACCCUUGCCUUUCUUGAAACUAGUGGUCUUGUUGACCAUCAACACUUGAUGCUCUUUCUUGAUUUCUACUUCUGCAGACUUGAGCAUCGAGUACAACUUGGGAAUGGUCUUCUCCAUCCCUUGCAUGUUGUAGUUAAGCACAAAGCCUUUGUAGCUUGGUGGGAGAGACUGGAGGAUUCUGUCAAUUAUAGCAUCAUCCAAAAGUUCGACUCCAAGUGAAGUCAGACGACCGUGUAACCCAGACAUGUUGAGUAUGUGCUCACUGACAGAACUGUUCUCCUCCAUCUUACAGCUAAAGAACUUGUCGGAGACUUCAUAUCUCUCAACACAGGCAUGAGCUUGAAAAACUAGCUUCAGCUCCUGGAACAUCUCAUAUGCCCCGUGUUGCUCAAAACGCCUUUAGAGCCCCGUUUCUAAACUGUAUAACAUGCCACACCUAACCAGAGAGUAGUCAUCACUCCGCGUUUGCCAGACGUUCAGAAUGUCCUGGGCUACUGCGGGAGCGGGAGGGUCACCUAGUGGCGCAUCAAGGACAUAAGCCUUUUUAGCUGCUUCGAGGAUGAGCUUCAAGUUGCGAACCCAGUCCGCAUAGUUGCUACCAUCAUCUUUCAGCUUGUUUUUCUCUAGGAAUGCGUUGAAAUUGAGGUUGACGUUGGCCAUCUACAAUAUUUAUAAAGACAACUUUUAGACUAAGUUCAUGACAAUUAAGUUCAUUUAAUCAAAUUAAGUAUGAACUCCCACUUAAAUCGACAUCCCUCUAGUCAUCUAAGUGAUACAUGAUCCAUGUUGACUAACCCGUGUCCGAUCAUCACGUGAGACGGACUAGUCACCAUGGUGAGCAACUUCAUGCUGAUUGUAUUCAACCAUACGACUCAUGUUAGACCUUUCGGUCUCUUAUAUUAGAGGUCAUGUCUAUACAUGCUAAGCUCGUCGAGUCAACCUAGGUGUUUUGCGUGUGUAAAUCUGGCUUACACCCCUUGUAUGCGAACGUUAGAAUCUAUCACACCCGAUCAUCACGUGGUGCUUCGAGACAACGAACCUUCGCAACGGUGCACACUUAGGGGAAUACGUUCUCGAAAUUUUAAGAGGGGUCAUCUUAUUAUUCUACCGUCGUUCUAAGUAAUAAGAUGGAAAACAUGAUAAACAUCACAAUGCAAUCAUAUAGUGACAUGAUAUGGCCAUUAUCAUCUUUGCUCUUUCGAUCUCCAUCUUCAGGCAUCGCAUGAUCAUCAUCGUCACCGGCGUGACACCAUGAUCUCCAUCAUCGUGUCUCCGUGAAGUCGUCACGCCAACUACUACUAUCACUACUACUAUAGCUAACCGUUAGCAAUGAAGUAAAAGUAGUAAGCACAUGGCGUUGCAUCUCAUACAAUAAAUUAAGACAACUCCUAUGGCUCCUGCCGGUUGUCAUACUCAUCGACAUGCAAGUCGUCAAACCUGUUACAAUAACAUGAUCAUCUCAUACAUCAUACAUGCAACAUCACAACUUUGGCCAUAUCACAUCACAUGUCAAACCCUGCAAAAACAAGUUAGACGUCCUCUAAUUGUUGUUGCAAGUUUUACGUGGCUGAUUUGGGUUUCUAGCAAGAACGCCUUCUUACCUACGUGACAACCACAACGAUGAUAUGCCAAAGCUAUUUACCCUUCAUAAGGACCCUUUUCAUCAAAUCCAAUCCGACUAGAGUAGGAGAGACACACACCCUCUAGCCACCUUUAUGCACGGUGUGCAUGCCUGUCGGUGGAACCAGUCUCACGUAAGCGUACGUGUAAAGUCGGUCCGGGCCGCUUCAUCCCACAAUACCGCCGGAAAAGAUAAGACUAGUAGCGGCAAGCAAAUUGACAAAUCAUCGCCCACAACUUUUGUGUUAUACUCGUGCAUAGAAUCUACGCAUAGAAAACCUGGCUCGGAUGCCACUGUUGGGGAACGUAGCAUAAAUUCAAAAUUUUCCUACGCAUAUUCAGAUCUUCCUAUGGAGAGACCAGCAACGAGAGAGGGGUAAGAGCAUCUUCAUACCUUUGAAGAUCGCUAAGCGGAAGCGUUGCUAGAACGCGGUUGAUGGAGUCGUACUCGCAGCGAUUCCGAUCUAGUGCCGAACUACGGCACCUCCGCGUUCAACACACGUGCAGCCCGGUGACGUCUCCCGCACCUUGAUCCAGCAAGGAGGAGGGAGAGGUUGGGAAAGAACUCCAGAAGUACGACGGUGUGGUGUCGAUGGAGAGACGAGGUCUCCCGGCAGGGCUUCGCCAAGCACCGACAGAGAGGAGGAGAAAGAAGGGCAGGGCUGCGCCGAGGGAGAGGGAGAAGUCUAUCUCCCAAUGGCCAAAAGUGCCCGGUAUAUAUAGGAGAAGGGAGGGGCUGCGCCCCCUUGAGAGUUUCCCCCUCCUAGGGGGGCGGCAGCCCUAGAUGAGGGCUGGUGCGGCGGCCAAGGGGGGAGGAGGGUUGUGGCGCACGCCUGGUGGGCCUUAGGCCCAUCUGGCUUAGGGUUUGCCCCCCCCUUUUCUCUCCCCUGCGCAUUGGGCUGAGUGGGGAGGCACACCAGCCCACCUAGGGGCUGGUUCCCUCCCCCACUUGGCCCAUCUUACCUCCCGGGGUCGUUGCCCACCUUCGGUGGACCCUCGGGGCCACCUCCGGUGGUCCCGGUACGUUACCGGUGAUGCCCGAAACACUUCCGGUGUCCGAAACCAUCCGUCCUAUAUAUCAAUCUUUACCUUCGGACCAUUCCGGAGCUCCUCGUGACGUCUGGGAUCUCAUCCGAGACUUCGAACAACUUUCGGUAACCUCGUAUAACAAUUCCCUAUAACCCUAGCGUCACCGAACCUUAAGUGUGUAGACCCUACGGGUUCGGGAGACAGGCAGACAUGACCGAGACACCUCUCUGGCCAAUAACCAUCAGCGGGGUCUGGAUACCCAUGGUGGCUCCCACUUUCUCCACGAUGAUCUCAUCGGAUGAACCACGAUGUCAAGGAUUCAAUCAAUCCCGUAUACAAUUCCCUUUGUCCGUCGGUAUAGAACUUGCCCGAGAUUCGAUCGUCGGUAUACCAAUACCUUGUUCAAUCUCGUUACCGGUAAGUCUCUUUACUCGUUCUGUAGCACGUCAUCGUGUGACUAACACCUUAGUCACAUUGAGCUCAUGCUGAUGUUCUACCGAGUGGGCCCAGAGAUACCUCUCCAUCACACCGAGUGACAAAUCCCGAUCUUGAUUCGUACCAACCCAACAGACACUUUCAGAGGUACCCGUAGUGCACCUUUAUAGUCACCCAGUUACGUUGUGCCGUUUGAUACACCAAAAGCACUCCUACGGUAUCCGGGAGUUGCACAAUCUCACGGUCGAAGGAAAAGACACUUGACAUUAGAAAAGCUUUAGCAUACGAACAACACGAUCUAGUGCUAUGCUUAGGAUUGGGUCUUGUCCAUCACAUCAUUCUCCCAAUGACGUGAUCCCGUUAUCAAUGACAUCUAAUGCCCAUGAUCAGGAAACCAUGAUCAUAUAUUGACUAACGAGCUAGCCAACUAGAGGCUUGCUAGGGACACAUUGUGAUCUAUUUAUUCACACAUGUAUUACUGUUUCGUGUUAAUACAAUUAUAGCAUGAAAAAUAGACGAUUAUCAUGAACAAGGAAAUAUGAUAAUAACCAUUUUAUUAUUGCCUCUAGGACAUAUUUCCAACAGUAUUUUUUAUAAAUCAGGAAAAAAUCCUCGUUGAUUUUUACAUCGUUUGGAGUUGCGCAGAAUAGGUAUCUCAAACUUGCUCCACUUUCAGGCCAGAAUUCCAGCUGCCAGCAUUCUCCCUCUUCAUGUAAACCUUGCAAAAUAAGAGAGAAAAGGCAUAAGAAUUGUACCGUGAAGUGAAAUAACAGCCUAAGAAGCGAUAAAUAUCAACGUGAAAACAUGAUGCAAAAUGGACGCAUCAACUCCCCCAAGCUUAGACCUCGCUUGUCCUCAAGCGAAAGCCUAGCUCAAUAAAUAUGUCCACAUGUUUAGGGAGAGAGGUGUCGACAAAACAAGAUACGAACAUGCAUGCAUCAUGAUCAUGAUCAGAACAACAAUACCAACAUAUAAUCUGUCAUGCUAAAGUGAUAAUUCCUUCACAAAGUAAAGCUCGGAUCAAGAACCUUAGCGAGAAGUAACAACCGAUAGCCUUUAGUCAUUGAAGCAAUUGCAAUUUAUCACACCAUCACAAAGAGUCAAAUAAGAUCUUGUGAAGCAAAUGCACAUACUCAAUCAUUCUUUCGUUCUCUACAAUUGCUACAACUCACAUGGUACUCAUGAGAUCAAAGUUCCAGCUGGACACAGAGAAAGAUAGGGGCUUACAGUUUUGCCUCCCAACUGCUUACCUCAAGGGUAAUCUCAACAGUAAUAAUUUAUGAAUACUUACCUCCAAGUUGACAUAUGAAUAUAGACCUUUCCCAAGCAUAUGAUGUUAGCCAAGAUAAAGGUGAAAUAGGGAAUUGGUGAAGAUCACCAUGACUCUUUCAAGGACGAAAAGUAAAGGUACAAGAUAGGCCCUUUGCGGAGGGAAGCAGAGGUUGUCAUGCACUUUUGAGGUUUGGAUGCGUGUCCUCUUAGUGCGGAGGAACAUCACUUUAUAUUGCCUCAUGUGAUAAAGAACUUUAUUAUGCAGUCUGUCGCUUUUAUGUCUUCCUCAUCACAGGUUCGUAGAAAGCUUAUUUUCCACACACUAAUAGAUCACACAUCUUAGAGAGCAAUUUUUAUUGCUUGCACCGAUGCCAACUUACUUGAGGGAUCUUAUUCAAUCCAUAGGUAGGUAUGGUGGACUCUCAUGGAAAAACUGGGUUGAAGGUUUAUGGAUGCACAAGUAGUAUCUCUACUUAGUGCGGGAGGUUUGGCUAAUGUGAGGUGGAAGCAAUCGUCACAUGCUAAGGGAUCUCUAAUCAUAUAACAUUGUUCGGAGCCAAGCAAACACAAUUCAUUAUGUUGUCUUCCUUGUCCAACAUCUACUUCUAGGCAUGCAAUAGUUUAGUGAGUGUUCACAAUCAUAGAUGGUGUCAGAGAUGAUAUAUUUAUAUGUGAACCUCUCCUUCUUUAUCACUUCCUAUUAAUUGCAACCAUGACCAAGGUCUACGUUUUCCUACCCUCAACAAGUUUCAAUCCUCAUUCUUUUUAUAUGUGAAGCCAUCACUUCCCAUAAGAUCAUUACAUGAUCUUUCAUCCUUUUGUUCUAUUCUCACUCUUUUGAUCAUGGCAAGAGGCAAAGCCCUUCAACUAAGACACUCUUUAUUAUAUGGCUCACGAGCUCGAAUACAUCGGGGGUGACACAAAGCAAAACUCAAGACUAAAACACUAGGACUUUUAAUCUACUAGAAAAAGAGAAAACUAAAAAGGAAAACUAAAACAAAGGUAAAGGCAAAAGAUGUGAUGGUGAUACGAUACCGGGGCAACUCCCCCAAGCUUGGCACAAGCCAAGGGGAUUGCCCAUACCAAUGCUCAGUUGUCUUCCUUUGGUGGUGGAGGUGGAGGAGUUGUUGCAAUCUUUGACUCCAAGAGGGCCAUUAAUCUUUGAUUUAUACCUUGGAGAUCUGUGAUAUGUUUUUCCAGCAAAACAACAUCACGAGUGAGACAAGUAUUGCGAGCACGAGUUGUUUCACAAAACCUCAAGAGUUCAAUCAAAGAUGGAGACAGUAGGUGCAGGUAGGGUUGGAGGAAAUCGACUUCUUCAACAUCUUCCUUGUUGAGCAUAGAUUGCACUUCGUCCCAUGCCUGAUCCUUCUCCUUAGCCUUGCCCUUGGUUUCUUUAGGUAGCCUUUCCUUAGCCUCCAUGACAUCCAUCCUUUUCAGAUCAGCAUGAACUACUCCAUAGAUUUGAUGGAGAUUGUUCUACCCCACAGAUUCGUGGGACGACAUCUUGCUCUAAAUCUGCGGCAGAAAACAGGCUCGAAACAAAAAACAGAAGAAAUCUGCGUGAUGCAGGGGUCAGACCAAACGGGAGUAUAUAUAAUGAUUUUUUCCAGACCAGAAGGAGUACCCUGCACGAAAACAGAGUUCGGGAGGCGCACGAGGUGGCCACAGGCCCUCACGGGCGGCCAGGGGAUGGUCCCGCGCCAUGGAGGCUUGUUGCCUCCUCGCACACUUUCCAGACUGCUUCCAAAUUUUGUAUUUUUUCAAAUAUUCCAAAACAGAGAAAAUUUCCUACUGGAAAAGUUUUGGACUGUGUUUUCUUACCGAAUCACAUACCUCUUCGUUUUCGGAGUCUGAAACAGGCUGAUAAAUAUCCCUUAGGUAUUCUUCCGGAGUUAUGGUAUUGAUAAUAUUGCUUUCAACAUUUAUGGGAGUACCUGAGAUAUAAUGCUUGAUUCUCUGCCCAUUUACCACUCUCGGACAAUUACCUUCUGUGUUGUUGAUCUUGAUAGCACCGGAACGAUAUACUUCCUCAACAACAUAGGGACCUUCCCAUUUAGAGAGAAUCUUGCCUGCAAAGAAUCUUAAACGAGAGUUAUAUAGCAAUACAUAAUCACCUACAUUGAACUCACGCUUUUGUAUCCUCUUAUCAUGCCACCUCUUAACCUUCUCUUUGAACAGCUUGGCAUUCUCAUAUGCCUAAGUUCUCCACUCAUCAAGCGAGCUAAUGUCAAAUAACCUCUUCUCACCGGCAAGUUUGAAAUCAAAGUUGAGCUCUUUGAUUGCCCAAUAAGCUUUAUGCUCUAUCUCAAGAGGUAGAUGACAUGCUUUACCGUACACCAUUUUGUACGGAGACAUGCCCAUGGGAUUCUUAUAGGCAGUUCUAUAAGCCCACAGUGCAUCAUCGAGCUUCUUAGACCAAUUCUUUCUAGACCUGUGGACAGUCUUUUGUAGAAUUAGUUUAAUCUCUCUAUUACUUAGCUCUACUUGACCACUGGACUGAGGGUGAUAGGGAGACGCAAUUCUAUGGUUGACAUCGUACUUAGCAAGCGUUUUACGGAAAGCACCAUGAAUGAAGUCUGAACCACCGUCGGUCAUUAGAUAUCUAGGGACUCCAAAUCUAGGGAAGAUAACUUCUUUCAGCAUCCUGUUAGAGGUGUUGUGAUCAGCACUACUAGUGGGGAUAGCUUCUACCCACUUAGUGACGUAAUCAACAGCAACUAGGAUAUGAGUAUACCCGUUGGAUUUUGGAAAAGGUCCCAUAUAAUCAAAGCCCCAGACAUCAAAUGGUUCAAUGACAAGUGAAUAGUUCAUAGGAAUUUCCUGACGUUUGCUAAUAUUACCUAUUCUUUGACAUUCGUUACAAGACAAGACAAACUUACACGCAUCCUUGAAGAGAGUGGGCUAAUAGAAACCUGAUUGCAAUACCUUGUGUGCAGUUCUAUCUCCCGCAUGGUGUCCUCCGUAGGCCUCAUAGCGACACUUUUGUAGGAUUUGUCCCUGUUCAUGUUGAGGUACACAACGUCUAAUAAGACCUUCUAGUCCUUCCUUAUAAAAGGUUAGGGUCAUCCCAAAAGUAAUGUCUCAAGUCAAAGAAGAAUUUCUUCUUUUGCUGGUACGUGAAACUAGGUGGUAUAUAUUUGGCAACGAUAUAGUUUGCAUAAUCAGCAUACCACGGUGCACUACGUGAAGCAUUGAUGACACUCAAUUGCUCAUCGGGAAAGCUAUCAUCAAUAGAUUGUGGGUCAUCAUGAACGUUCUCCAACCUAGACAAGUUAUCUGCUACAGGGUUAUCAACACCCUUCUGUUGACAACAUGCAAAUCAAAUUCUUGUAGCAAGAGAACCCAUCUGAUAAGUCUAGGUUUAGUGUCUUUCUUCUCCAUGAGGUACUUAAUAGCAGCAUGAUCAAUGUGAAUAGUGACUUUGGAAUCAAAUAUAUAAGGCCUGAACUUUUCACAUGUAAACACGACUGCUAAAAACUCCUUCUCCGUAGUAGCAUAGUUUCUCUGGGAACUGUCUAGAGUUUUACUAGCGUAGUGAAUAACAUUCAACUUCUUGUCAACUCUCUGCCCUAGAACAGCACCAACAACAUAAUCACUAGCGUCACACAUGAUCUCAAAAGGUAAGUUCCAAUCAGGUGGUUCAAUAAUAGGUGCAGUUAUCAGAGCACUCUUAAGUAUUUUGAAGGCUUCCUCACAAUCAUCUUCAAAAACAAAAGGAAUAUCCUUUUGCAAGAGAUUGGUAAGAGGCCUAUAAAUCUUAGAGAAGUCUUUAAUGAACCUUCUAUAGAAACCAGCAUGACCAAGGAAACUUCUUAUACCUUUGAUAUCUAUGGGGUAUGGCAUUUUCUCGAUUGCAUCAAUCUUAGCCUUAUCGACUUCAAUACCUCUUUCAGAAAUUUUAUGUCCUAAGACAAUGCCUUCAUUAACCAUAAAGUGGCACUUCUCCCAAAUCAAGACAAGAUUGGUGACUUUACAUCUCUGCAAGACUCAAUCAAGGUUGCUGAGGCAAUCAUCAAAGGAAGACCCGCAAACGGAGAAGUAAUCCAUGAAAACCUCAACAAUCUUUUCACAAAAGUCAGAGAAUACAGCCAUCAUACAUCUUUGAAAGGUGGCAGGUGCAUUACAUAAGCCAAAAGGCAUACGUCUAUAAGCAAAGGUACCGAAAGGGCAGGUGAAAGUGGUUUUCUCCUGAUCACAUUGUGCAACUGGUAUUUGGGAGAAACCAGAAUAACCGUCUAGAAAGCAAAAGUGUGUGUGUUUAGACAGUCUUUCUAGCAUUUGGUCGAUAAAAGGCAAAGGGUAAUUAUCUUUCCUAGUGGCUUUAUUCAAUUUCCUAAAAUUGAUCACCAUCCUAUAGCGAGUAAUAAUCCUAUGUGGGAUCAAUUCAUCCUUAUCAUUAGGGACAACGGUAAUACCUCCCUUCUUAGGGACGCAAUGCACCGGACUCACCUAAUCGCUAUGAUCAACAGGAUAGAUAAUACCCGCUUCCAGGAGCUUUAGUAUUUCUUUUCUUACUACUUCUUUCAUCUUAGGAUUCAAUCUGCUUUGAUGAUCAACAACUGGUUUGAAAUCAGGAUCGGUUUUAAUCUUGUGCUAGCAUAGAGUAGGACUAAUGCCCUUAAGAUCAUCAAGAGUAUAUCCAAUAGCAGCACGGUGCUUUCUCAGAGUUUUUAGUAACUUCUUUUCUUCAUGCUCUGAGAGGCUAGCACUAAUAAUAACAGGAUAUAUCUCCUUUUCAUCAAUAUAGGCAUACUUAAGAGUAUCAGGCAACUAUUUAAGCUCUAACACAGGAUCACCCUUUGGUGGGGGUGGAUCCCCAAGCAGUUCAACAGGCAGAUUAUUCUUAAGGAUAUGAUAUUGUUCUAAGACAACUCUAUCUAUCUCAUCCCUUUCAUCCAUAUGCAUAUCAUUUUCAUGCUCAAGCAAGUAUUGCUCUAAGGGAUCAGUAGGAGGCACGGCAAUAGAAGCUAAGGCAUUAGUUUCAUCCUUACUAGGCAACUCCUUUUCAUGAGGUUGUCUACCAGCCUUAGAGAAAAUGAACUCAUGUGACACACCUUCAAAGCCAACAGUGAUAGUUUGCUUCUCACAGUCAAUAUGAGCAUUGACAGCAUUGAGAAAAGGUCUACCAAAUAUGAUGGGACAAGAGCUAUCUUGUGCGGUAGCAAGAACGAGGAAAUCAGCAGGAUACUUCGUUUUACCAGACAAGACUUCAACAUCCCUAACAAUUUCCACAGGGCAGAUAGUAUCUCUAUUGGCAAGCUGAAUAGUGACAUCAAUAGGCUCUAUCUCAAUAGGUGCAAUCUCGUCUUUGAUUUAGUCAUACAAGGAUUGAGGUAUUGCACUAACACUAGCGCCCACGUCACAUAAGCCAUGAUAAGAAUGAUCUCCUAUCUUAACAGAAAGCACACGCAUUCCAACAACAGGCCUAUGUUUGUCUCUAACGUGAGGUUUAGCAAUUCUAGGAGCAUCUUCACAGAAGUGAAUAUUAUGUCCCUCAACAUCGUCGGACAGAAGAUCUUUGAUAAUAGGGUGUAGGUGUUCUAAUAUAGCCUCUACGUAUCACAGUUGAAGCUUUAGAAUGAUCCUUUAUCCUAACAGGGAAAGGUGGUUUCUCAAUGUAAGCACUCGAAACCAUAGGAUCAUUAUAGGAAAUGAUUUUCUCUUCAACUUGAGUGGGUUUGACUACAUUGACUUCUAAUGGAGGAUGAUAUUUAAACCACUUCUCUUUGGGGAGAUCGAUAUGAGAAGAAAAUGAUUCACACAAUGAAGCUACUAUCUCAGAGUCAAGUCCAUACUUAGCGCUAAAAUCACUAAAGGUAUUUGUCUCAACAAAGGAUUUAACGCAAUGAAACAUGAAAUUCAUUCCUGACUCCUUACCUUCUUCAAGCUCCCAAUCUUCAGAGUUACGUUUAAUUCUCUCCAAUAAAUUCCAUUUGAAGUCAAUAUCUCUCUUCAUAAAACAACCGGUACAAGAAGUGUCAAGCAUGGUGCGAUCAUCAUGAGAAAGCCGAGCAUAGAAGUUCUGAAUGAUAAUUUCUCUCGAGAGCUCAUGAUUGGGGCAUGAAUAUAGCAUUGAUUUAAGCUUCCCCCAAGCUUGAGGGAUGCUUUCUCUGUCACGAGGCCAAAAAUUAUAAAUAUAAUUCCGAUCACGAUGUACAAAAUGCAUAGGAUAAAACUUUUGAUGAAAUUACAAUUUCAACCGAUUGUAGUCCCAUGAUACAGUGUCAUCACAUAGCCUAUACCAUGUCAACGCCUUAUCCUUAAAAGAUAAAGGAAAGACCUUCUUCUGGACCUCAUCCUCGGAAAACCUGCAAGCUUAAAUAAACCACAAACUUCAUCUACAUAGAUUAGAUGCAAGUCUGGAUAUGAUGUUCCAUCUCGUGUAAAAGGAUUAGCCAGCAGUUUCUCAAGCAUACCCGAAGGAAAUUCAAAGCAAAUAUUUUUAGUAGGUGCAGCAGGUUGAGGAGAAACUAUUUGUGCUUCCGUUCGAGGUGAAGAUACCCCGAACCAGCCCCUCAAAGCAUUAGUAUCCAUAGUGACAAGUGACAAUAAAUUUCAGCACACUAUAGGAAUGUUUCCUUACCAAGUUCCACUUACCAAAGGCGCUUCACUCCCUGGCAACGGUGCCAGAAAAGAGUCUUGAUGACCCACAAGUAUAGGGGAUCAAUCGUAGUCCUUUCGAUAAGUAAGAGUGUCAAACCCAAUGAGGAGCAGAAGGAUCUGACAAGUGGUUUUCAGCAAGGUAAAAUCUGCAGGCACUGAAAUUGUCAGUAACAAGUGAUUGUGUAGUGAGAUGAUUCGUAGCAAGCAACAAGUAACAAAAGUAGCAACGGUGCAGAAAAGUGGACCAAUCCCUUUUGUAGCAAGGGACAAGCCUGGACAAAGUCUUAUAGGAGGAAAAAUGCUCACGAGGACACACGGGAAUUUCUGUUAUGCUAGUUUUCAUCAUGUUCAUAUGAUUCGCGUUCGUUACUUUGAUAGUUUGAUAUCUGGGUGGACCAGCGCUUGGGUACUGCCCUUACUUGGACAAGAAUCCAACUUAUGAUUAACCCCUCUCGCAAGCAUCCGCAACUACGAAAUAAGAAUUAAGACAAAGUCUAACCAUAACAUUAAACUAGUGGAUCCAAAUCAGCCCCUUACGAAGCAACGCAUAAACUAGGGUUUAAACUUCUAUCAAUCUAGCAACCCAUCAUCUACUCACUACUUCCCAAUGGCUUCCUCUAGGCCCAAAUAAUGGUGAAGUGUUAUGUAGUCGACGUUCACAUAACACCACUAGAGGAAAAACAACAUACAACAUAUCAAAUUACCGAACGAAUACCAAAUUCACAUGACUACUAUUAGCAUGACUUAUCCCAUGUCCUCNCAUUAAACUAGUGGAUCCAAAUCAGCCCCUUACGAAGCAACGCAUAAACUAGGGUUUAAACUUCUAUCAAUCUAGCAACCCAUCAUCUACUCACUACUUCCCAAUGGCUUCCUCUAGGCCCAAAUAAUGGUGAAGUGUUAUGUAGUCGACGUUCACAUAACACCACUAGAGGAAAAACAACAUACAACAUAUCAAAUUACCGAACGAAUACCAAAUUCACAUGACUACUAUUAGCAUGACUUAUCCCAUGUCCUCAGGAACCAAAGUAACUACUCACAAAGCAUAAUCAUAUUCAUGACCAGAGAGGUAAUGAGUAGCAUCAAGGAUCUGAACAGAAACUCUUCCACCAAAUAAUCCAACUAGCAUCAACUAUAAAGAGUAAUCAACACUACUAGCAACCUUACAAGUACCAAUCGGAGUCGCGAGAUGGAGAUUGGUUACAAGUGAUGAACUAGGGUUUGGAGAUGACAUGGUGUUGAUGAAGAAGUUGAUGGUGAUGAGUCCCCUCUGAUGAGAGGAGUGUUGGUGAUGACGAUGGCGACGAUUUCCCCCUAUGGGAGGGAAGUUUCCCCGGCAGGAUCGUCCUGCGAGAGCUCUAGAUUGGUUCUGCUCAAGUUCCGCCUCGUGGCGGCGACGAAUCCACGAAAAAGCUCCUCCUGAUUUUUUUUUGGACGAAACUCUUCAUAUUGUAGAAGAGGGGGGCCAGUGGGCCAGCAGGCUGCCCACAAGCCCUCAUGGCGCGGCCUGGGGGUGGUCGCGCCGUGCAGGCUUGUGGCCACCUGCACGCGCCCCUCUCGCACUUCUUUGGCCCAGUAUUUUUUAUAAAUCAGGAAAAAAAUCCUUGUUGAUUUUUACGGCGUUUGGAGUUCCGCAGAAUAGGUAUCUCAAACUUGCUCCACUUUCAGGCCAGAAUUCCAGCUGCCGGCAUUCUCCCUCUUGCAAAAUAAGAGAGAAAAGGCAUAAGAAUUGUACCCUGAAGUGAAAUAACAGCCCAAGAAGCCAUAAAUAUCAACGUGAAAACAUGAUGCAAAAUGGAUGUAUCACAUUCCAGAGUGCAGACUAUGCCCAUCAAUAAGCCGACAUAAAAUCCUACCACCACCACUCAGUUUUGGACGGCAAGGGGCACCGCGACAUGUUCAGAAGGGGCAAAAGAGGCAUCUUUUGGCAUCUGGCCUUGUGAGCUAGAGAUACGGAGCAGGGAACAUAUAUUUUUAGGGAGGGGGAUGGGAGAGGGGGUGGACUCACUAAUGAUGGCCUGGCGGUACACCUGCACCACGGCCCUACCGACGACGGCUUCGCCCAUGACGAGGAGUUGCCCGAGGAGCCGUCCGGCCUGCCGAACCAUCGAGCCAGAUCAUCAGCCACACGAUUCACAAAGCCCAAGCAUGGAUUAAAUAAGAUCGAGAGGCAGGCGCACGUACCAUAUCUCUCUGUUCCUCCCCUCCCCUCCCCGGCGGCGGGCGGGCGCGGUUCUCACAGGAGACGCGGAGCCCGUGAGGGAGCACGGGACGGGGGCAUGGGUGGUGAGGCUGUUGGGUGAACGGAGGGACUCGCUCCCCCGCGUAGCACCUUCCGGGCCUCCACCGUGAGGCUGGCCACGGUCGUCGCGGCUGCGGCCUCCCUAGGAAUGGGAGGAUGUGGGCGGGCCAUGGCGGGCGGCUCGAGGCCAUCGAGGUGGGGAGAGGGGGGAAGGAGGACAGGGAGGCAGGUCGGGCAAGCGAUUGGGGAGGGGAGAGGGUGGGAGCGGCGGCCAUGACCGACGACGACGGCGACGAGGUAUGAGGAAGCGAGGCGGGCGGUGGGUGGCGGCGCCGAUGUGGGGAAGGGAUUGGAUCAGGAAGCUAGAGAGGAAUGAGCUCGGGAGGAAGGGAGGAAGGAGAAGAGAGGAAGAAAGGAGGCGGGGGUGGAUGAAAAAUGUGAGGAGGACAAAGCUAGGGUUUCAUCUACAGAGUAGAGGGCUGUCGUUGGAUCCGGGAUCAUACAACGGUCCUUGAUGCAUGAUUCGUGUGAGAUCCUCAUGGACCAAUGAGAACGGAGUAAACACUAUGAAUACGUUAUGACCAUCUAAAUUGGUCGUAAUUAACUAAAAAUAAGUUUUUUUCAUAAGAAAAACAUUUUCUAUUUUCGAGUGACAAAGAUGGUUUUUUGUGAAGGACCUUGUUGACACCUGAUUUUGGCAUGGAAGAAACAUAUUAUUAAGAUGGAUUCAAAUGAAAAAGGUUUUAUUUUUUUUGGACCAAAAAUUCAUUUUCCAUUUUCCGAUUGCUCAAAAUGAGUUUUUUGUGAAGGACCUACCAUAUAUUUGCUGCAAAAUUGGACAAAAUCAUUUUUAUAAAAUACUAGGUCAUAUUUAAUGUGCAAUUGAUCAAAUGGUUGGGUGUCAAAACCUUUCAUCCACCUCACGUGAAAAAGACAUUUUUUUGCCAAUUCUACUCGAAGCGGGUCAAAUUUGAACUGCAGCUACACUAUAGUUUGCUCUUUAUUUUUUCCAAAAAUCAUUUCUAGGUGCACAAGUAUCUAUUUAAUCAAAGAAACACCAAAAUAUUUCCAAGAUUCAACCACUAGGUAGGAACGGUCAUACCCAUUGUUUUGACCGCAUUUUGAAAUGGCCAUGAAAAAUUAAAAAAAAAUCAAAAAAUGGAAAACCUUUGCAUUGUGUCAUUAUAUGUGACAAAGUUAUCAGGAAUAAUAAAGUUGUAAUACAACAAUUAUUUUAAAAAAGUGUUCUUAGAAAUGGGCUAUCAUAUGUGAAAAUUCAUGGCUUUCAAGCCAAAUGAUCAAUCUUAUGGCCACAUUCAUGACAUAGUUUGUUGAAAUGAUAUAAUAUUAUGUACAAGGGUGCAUAUUGUAAUGGAAAACAAUGUUGAUUAAGGAAGUUUUCAUUUUCCUUGUAUGUAAAAAUCAUUUUCUAUUUUUCAAGUGCCCAAAAUAAAAAGAAAUCGUGAAGGACCUACCAUAUAUUUGUUUCAAAAUUGGACCAAAUCAUUUUUCUAAAAUACUAGGCCAUAUUUAAUGUACAAUUGACAAAAUGGUUGAGUGUUAAAAGCUUUUAUCCACCUGUCGUGAAAAAGACAAAUUUAUGUCGAUUCAGUUGAAAGCAGGUUAAAUUUGCACUGCGCCUGCAUUAUAGUUUACUCUUUAUUUUUCCCAAAAUUAAUUUAUAGGUACAUAAGUAUCUAUUUAAUUAGAAAUACAUGGUGUGGUGGCUUGACGUCAAGGUUUGGAUGGUGGUCGAGGGCCCUAACUCCAGAGCGCGUGAACUGGCAUGCCAGCCGCAUGGUCACCGCCUGACCGUUGCGUUGCCACGCUAUGUUGAUGGAAUAGGCAUGUCUGGUGGGUUGGACAAUCCCUCAAUGUGUGUUAGGUAGAAGAAUACAAUAAAAGAAUCUCACGAGGAGACUGAAGUAAGUUCAAACAUGAAUUAGUAGCCAAGUGUUUGAUUAGCGGUGCGGGUAAUGCACAUAGACAAUGGGCCUAAAUUUUGGCUGAGGAUGAUCAUCUAUUAAGGAGACUCCCUUGGCAAUUUUUAGCUCAAAUGGAUGAACCUAGGUGGUACUUGCUUUGCAAAGUAACACAUUGUGCACAAAUAAAAUAUGGAUAUUAAAGCUGGGAUCAAAUGAUUGAAUGGAUUGAGCUGAAAUUUGGUCUAUGAUGUUAAUUUGGGCAUAUGAAGGCAGUGUAAAAAAAUUAUACCAUUUGGACAUACCAAAGGGACACUUCCUUCAUAAUGUGCAAUUCUGGACAGAAAAUGGUAAUUGAAACUAGGCUCACAUAGAUGAUUGGACUGAGCUGAAAUUUAGAGGAGGAUGAUAAUUGGGGCACAUUAAGGAACUAUAAAAAUUUCAUAAAUUUGUAUAAACAAAAAUUGUACUUCCUUCACAAUGCUCUCUACUGAACAGAAUAUUAGGGAAAAUAUUAGGGAAACUGGCUGAAUUAAAUGAGCUAAAGUUUGGUGGACUGAGCUUAUAUGGUCAAUUUAAUUCCUUGCUAAAUUUUCAUCAACUAUAAAGCAAUACAAAAUGUAGUUGCUUCAAAACUGGGACUGAAAAUAUUGCCAGAAACAAAGAUUGGAUGAUGAGCUCACAUGGAUUGUUAGAUGGGGCUAAAAUUCUAUGGAGAUCUAUGGUUUUGGCACAUAGAAUAUGUGGAAAAAUUCAACUCAUCAUGAUGUUCCUAUAUAGUACUUCCUUCACAAAGAUGUUAGCUGAACACAAACUUUGAAAAUUUGCUGAGAAAUAUUUACUAGGAAAAUGGUUACGAAAGUUUUCAUGAGGCAAUGAUUUGGAUAGGAAAGAGUGCCCAAAAAAUUUGAGCGUAAACAAAGAAACAGAAAUAGCACUUCCUUCACAAAGUGCUAUUCUGAACUAAAUAGGAAAAUGAAUAUUGCUCAAUUAUUUUCGAACUGUGGAAGGAAGGGUUUUCGAACUUUGACACGUUAUCACCACGCUCUACCGAGUACCAAGAGUAAUACACGCUCUCCGGCAUGGUCGACGUCGUCGGCCUCAAGCCCUCAACGCCGCUCCUGCCAUCAUGGCUCCUCGAGGCUAGAGGCUCUCGGCCUUCCCACAUGGAAGGGCGCAGAAACCGCAUUCGCGCACCGUCGACGCUGAACGCAGCGACCAUGUCGUCCAAGCGGCGCUGGCACGCGAUACAUGCUCCUGUGUACAGGGGAAAUCGAUCAAAGAAGACAAACCUGAUCUAGUUCUUUCUUUGAUUCAUUCUGUACCAAACUAUCUAAUUACCGACUGAUUUUUUCAUGCACAUGGGCGAGAGUCACUUCAUCGAAUCUGACACAUACGCAAAGAGGAAAUCAUAUUGAUUCUCACCGGUAACUUCCUUGGAUGAUGCCUUUGCACGCUCAAGCUUCUACGACGGAGUGCUCGCCUUCGACCGUAGGCGCGAUCUAGCACCAUGCACAGCCAGGGACGAUGGUGCUCCCCACCUCACAGCAGAGGCAGCACCCUCUACCACGCAGCCAGCCAUGGCGCUCGACCUAGACCGCGGCGCAUCAGCGUCCUCCGGUGUGACUUCCCAGCAGUGGAGGCGACCCCCGCACUGAAGCGCGCCCACGUGCGCCCACGGACGUCGGCCCCGGUGCAUCGGGACAGCUUCAAGCCCACGAGGCAUCUGUCUGGCCUCGCCGCCACUUCUACCUACGCCUCUCCCUCCGGCGUGAUUGCUCGAAGCGUCCUCAUGUACGGCAGCGGAUGCGGCUCAUGGCUGCCCGCGGCCACACCCUGCGGCGGAGGCGGCGGUGGGCCNUAUUUUCCCCCAUUGGAACCGCACGCGAGGAGAACCUUAUCUCUUGCCCAUUUUGCAUUUACAUCAGUGUAUUUGCAAGGAUUACCAAAACAAUCCUAAACACUCGUCCAGACUAGUCUGCCAUAAUACCUUUUUUUAUGGGAUUUUGCAAAUUGGUUCUGUUAGCCUACUAGUAUUUACUAGCAUUCACAUAUUUUAGACCGUGUGAUAUCCGAUAUUUGUCUAAAGUACUGUGUUUCUGUUGAGUACCAAUGUAUUUCAUAUCCUAAGUUGAUGUGAUAUAUUUCCAUAUUUAUCACGUGUUGAGAUUAAUUAUGUCCAUUUGCAAUAAAGAUGUUUAAUAUCUUGCAACGAUAAAUCGAGUACCUCUACAAUACUGUUUUCUCCAUUGAGUACGAUGUAUUCCGGAAUGUAUGUAUCUCCAUGUCCGCUACAUGUCGAGAUUAAUACGUUUCUUUGCAAUUGGGAUUUUUGUUUUCUUGCAAAUAAAAAUAAAUUCAUUUUAAUUGAUCAUUUGGUUUGAUACAAGCAAGAAUUGAUAUGCAAAAUUCUAAAUGUUGUUUUUCAAAUUGAUAUUUUGGGAUCACAAGGUAGUGUGUAUAUCUACUACACCAUUUCCAGAUUAUUCACCAUUACUGUGAGGUCUACAUCUUGUCAAUUUUACAAGAUGAUUACCUUCAAAGUGCUCUUCCAAAUAUUAAUAUUAGAUGUGACUACCUCAAGAAAUCAUAAGGUAAUAUUGGCAUCUACUGCAAAAUUUUGCAGACUAUCCAUUAUUACUGCAAGGUCUACAUCAUGCCAUUCUGACAGAUGACUACCUUCAUAGUGAUUUUCUUAAAAAUAGAUAACAUAAGGUAAUAGAAUUAUGAACAUCUACUGACAAUAGUCAUACUAUGUUUUCUAUUACUACGAGAUCUACACCAUAUUGGUGAUUAUCUUCAAAGUGUUAUCCUAUAUAAAUUGAGGUCUACACAUAUGUCUAUAAGGCAUCAACUAUACUAGAAUUUGCUCCUUCGAAGCAUUUAUUGUUGUUGUUCUUAAAAUAUUUUACUCUCAUAGUAAAUAUUGUUCUUGCACAUUUUGCUUGAAUAUGUCAUAGGAAACUAUGAAAAUAUUUGCAUAUACAUGUGAUUACCUUCUAUUACAUUCGUAAAAUGUAUGGCAAUGGAGCCUACGUCACUAUUUCUAAUUAUAGUGGAUGGAUACCAUAAUUUAUAAAGAGUGUCUCAAACACUAUUGCAAGAUUCACAUCACAUUGUGGUUGUUAUUUUCAUGGUGACUAAGCAAUGUUAAAAUUGCAAAGUCUACGUUUUGGUCAUGACUAUAAAGUCACACUUUUUCUCACGAAUGAAACCCAAAACAUUAGCAACGAUUUCAUCGCAUGGACUAUAUUGAAGGUUUACACCCCAUGUUCACCAAGCAUCACCUUGGCAGAUUUUGCUCAACAAGAUCAUUUCAUCAAUAUAUUUUAUUUUACUCCAAGAAGUAAAUAAAUAAUGCAUGAUCAUUUAAUGUAACACAUGGCUAUUCUAUUGAUGCACAUAUGCAUUUUAUAUGUCACCAACUUCACUUGGUUCUGAAACUAAGUAUACAAUGGAUGAAUAUAAAUUCACCUUGAAUAUUCUCUCAAUAGAAACAUGCUUCCAUGAGAACAUCGCGAAUGAUCUCCCAUUUUUUAAAGACAUCAAGUCUUAUCGCGGCUCACAAUUCUGUCACGUUAAUCAACUUCAAGCUGAGAUCUCAUGAUCAAAAUCUUCAUAUGCAGAUCCGAUUGAAAACUCAUUAAUACACUUUACAUCCUAUAAUGAUGGUACUACCAUUUUCCAUGAUGAAGGAACAUGGAAUUUCUUAAAAUCAUCAGACUCACCCCACAGGUGUUAUACCAUCAUUUGAAAAUCUUGUUGGUAGUGAAUACCAAGUCAGUGGCGAAGAAAUAUGGCCAUGAGGACUUCAAAGUAAAGUGGUGGCUAAAAGACAACCAAAGACAGAAUUACCUCUUAAUAGGGAAUAUAUCAUUUUCAAAUGAUCACAAAGACAACUCUCAAAUUUGUCAAAUGUGUGGUUAUAUAAAUAUCGUACAUAUGACUACCAAACCGUCAAACAUAUGGUGAAACCACAUCACAAAUUUAUUCAAAAGGCUGAUAAAUUCAAUGGGAUAAAUCUGAAAAUUCACAAAUAACAACCAAAAUAUUUUGGUAGAUGCUUGUUUUCAGAAUCUUCAUCAGAAGGAGAACUAAAGUUUAGUGCGGUAAAUGGAGGAUGAAAUCAUUUGCUCUCAAUAAUGUCGGAGACCUCACGUAAUCUCCUAAUUCUCCAACAUAUUAUUAGCCUAUACUUGUACUACUGCAUGUAGUACAAUGUCCAAUAUCCUAUUUCUUGGACAUUAUAUUUGAUAAAUUUUGAAUGUAUGAAUCAAUUCAUACUCAGUUUUCUUGCGUAAAAAAGAAUUUUCUAAAUCUUACAAAAUAUUUGGCAUUAAGCCUUACAAUCCUGGUUUGGGGUUGAUUACAAAAUUAUUGACAAUUCUAUUGGUCACAACUUAAGAAGUUGCAAAAAUUCCCAAAUCAUCAGAUUUUAUGUGCACCACAUGUGCCACAGGGGAAAUUAAUUUCAGAAACUCUCACCUUACAAUUCUAAAUGAGCCAAUUCAUUCUUCCUUGAACAAAUUAAGAAGAUAUAUGUGGAUUACUUAACCAUUAUGUGGGAUUAUUAACAUACUUCAUGGUACUCAUAGAAACAUUUAUAAAAUGAUUUCAAGUGUGUCUCUUGUCGCACACAACCAUGAAUGAUCUUACUAAAUCAAUUGCUCAACUUCUCAAAGUAAGAGCAAAUUAUCCUAAACAAGGGAUAAAUCCAUUCGAAUGGACAACUUUGUUGAACUCAUUUCUCAAGAAAUAUAUGAUUAUAUAUAAUACUUUAUGUACAUAUCCAAAAUAGUUUAGUUCAAUAUCUUAUCAAAGAUAGUGAAAUUAAUAAUAUGACCAAACUUAUAGAAUCGUAAUUUACUAGCCUCAUGUUAGACAAAUACGGCAUUACACACCAUAAGUAUGAUAUAAAUCAUACCAACUGCAUAGCAUACUACUUUCCCCCUGUAGUAAUUAUGUGGAAAUCAACAAAGUAUUUCCUAUCUGCAAUAAUUCGAUUACACACCGAUAUGACGACUCCGGCAUACAUAAAUGGGCUCUUACAGAAAAUUAGGGAUCUAUGUGAGGAAUGACAAUUUAUCUGUCAAUCGAAAUUAUCCAUAGCCCAUAUGCUCAUUGCAUCAACAGUAAGGACAUUUCUGGCAUUAGGGGGAGAUAAGUACCACAAAGAAUGCCAAGAAAUAAAUUAGAAAUGUUAUUCACAUUCAGUCCAUAUAUCCACGUACUCAAAGAAUCUGAACUAGAAGUUUAGAAUCACAUAUUUGCAACACAUUGCAAAUCCGCCACAUACAUUUACUAAUGACAAAGGUGUCACUCAAUUUUAUAUUUCUGUAGUAAAGUGUCAGAAAGAGUGGAGGUACCUCAUAAACCACUCUUCUCCCGAAAUGAGAGCAAGAGGGGGAGAAAUCUGACCACACGAGAUAUAUUCUCACAUAUGCUUCCACGGAAAUAGAGGUAAUCAAAUCCUCAACUAGUAAAUGUAAUUCAACAUCAAGUUGAAAGACACCUCACUGGAUGCUCAUCAUCCAAAGCCCGACAUAAAUGUGCACAAAUAUUUUGGUGUCGGGACAUCGAAACACCUUGACUCCAUUGUUGUAGGAAAUCACAAGGAGUUAAAAGGAAUAAAUACAUUUCCACAAAUUUCAUCGAUUCCUCCAGAAUCAUAUAACAUAAGUCUAUAUUUCUUCUCUAAAUUGCUAAAACCUUUUGGGCCCCGAACCAAAAUCCAUGGUAGAGUGCCUCUUGUACUCAUAUUGGUUCACAUAAAAGGAAUCAAGUAAUGAAGAAUAGCACUCGCUCAUCAAAGAGUGGUAUUUACCACAGUAAUACCUACUCCUCAUAAGUAUCUUCCAUAUGGAAUACUAAAAACUUCUCAUUCAUAGACAAAGUCAAUGAGGUGGUGAACAAGCGAAGCUUGUAGCAAAAGGGUUCACAGAGAGACCCGACAUCGAUUACGAUGUAACAUACCUUCUUGGUAGGAGUGGAACUAUGUUUCGAUAAUAAAUACCAUUGGCAGUACAAAUAAUAUUAUCCAUGCAGUGAUGGAUGAAGUGGCUACACAGUCAUAUGAGUCACUCAUUUCGGAAAUCUAUAUUAAAGUCCGUGAAAGGCAUACAUUUCUGAAUCCAAAAACAAAUCGCAACAUGUAUUGUGUAAAACUUCAAAAGUCACUCUAUGACUAGAAAUAGUUGUGAAUCAUAUGGUACUACCGAAACAAAAGGUAUAUGGUCGAUAUAAGUACUAUCAUCUUAUAUCUGAAGAUUAUAGUAAAUCUUGAAUAUUUCCAUCAGGAAAUAGAAGAUAUGACCAUGAUAUGAUGUAAUGAUAUUGGCUCUUUAUUUGAUCCCAAUAACGCCAUAUCAAUGACUGAAUUUGCUGGAAUAGCCUUCACAUGGAAGUCAUAUAAAUGGAUUUUAAUGGUUAUUUCCAGUUAUCGUUCUAACAUAAUUGUUUUACCUAAAGGCAUUGCAAAAUAUGCAUAACUUAGUAGAAUGGUUAACCACACUUAAAAUCAUGUGGUUGAGAUUCAUCAAAAUCACAUAACUUGAUUUAUCAAGAUACUUACACUUGUGUUACUCAAUACCUAUAGGUUAUAUGAAGAGCAAUAUCAUAAAUCACAUUGCUCGGAAAUUACUUAACCUCGCGGAUUAUAGAAAAGUAAGGAAAUAAUUUGCAAACAAAAUAUUGUUAUAAUCCAACAAAUUAUACACAGUCUCAUGUUCAUGUCAAUGGAAUUGGUAUGAGACGUCCUUCACAUUUGCAAACUUCAGGGAGAGUAAACUCCCAAACUAUAACCUAUUAACAAUCAUCAGAUUGCAUAUAUUGUACUCUUUUUCCCUUGAUGAGUUUUUCCCUAAUGGUUUCUCAUAAAGGUUUUUAACGAGACAAUAUAAACACAAGUAUCUAUAUAUGCCAUAUCAUUUUCUUCUUAUAUUUUUGCCACUGGAUUUUAAAGGAGUUUUCAAUGACAUGUACGGUUGCACUCUUUUUCCUUAUGAGUUUUUUUCAAAGUUUCUCAUAACGGUUUUUAAUGAGGCAAUAUCUUCUCAAAGAUCAUAUGUCAUACUUUCUAUUUUCCCUAUCAGGGUUUUUAAAGAAAGUAGUCAAGACAUAUUAAUUGUUCUCUAAACUUAUCGAUGAGUUUUCUCCUUCUUUAAAGGUUUUUCUCAUAUGAGUUAUCAAGAGACAAUAAUCAUCGUAUGUUGCAUCAUUUUCUUCUUAUUUUUCCCACUGGGUUUAAAGGAGUUUUAGCAACAUAUCUACAUAAUUCUCCUCAUAUUUUUCCCGCAGGGUUUUUGUGGGAGUCUCUCAAGAUUAUCUUGAAGAUUUCUUAAGAUGGAAGAUCUAUAUGCAAGAAGCUUUCAACGAUGAAACAUUCAAGGAGCGGUGUUGUACAAGGGGGAGUGUUAAAAACUAAUUAGUAGAUUAAUUAAUUAGCAAAUGGAUGUGUCCAACCCGAAUAGUCGUGUCUCUUCUCUCUCUAUUGCCAACAGGUACCUGUUCUGGAGGGAUGCCUCCGAAGAGACACCUCUUCUUCACACCUCUUCCAGAUAUAUAUACUUGAUAAUCAAUAGAAAUCAGGAUUAAUGGUCCAUUCACUUUCAUUCAAUCUUGUUUUACUUUGACAGUAACCAUCAAGAAUGAGCUAAGCACAUUGCAACAUAUAAGCAACACACAUCAGAAAUUAAACCAAAAAAUCCUCCAAAUUUUCGAAUUUCAGGGAUCACAUCGACCAUUCGUUGCUAUUGCACACACAUGGGAAUAAUUUACAUUUUACAAUGGCAGGCCACCGUGGCGCGUCGGGCAGCCUAAGAUCCAGGCGCAAAUUUGGUGGCGAAAACCCAUGCAUUAUUGGCGACAGGGUCGUCGAGGUGGUCGAACAGGUUCUCCAAUGGGCCCUUGCCGGUGACGAUAGCUUGCACGAAGAACCCGAACAUAGAGAACAUGGCAAGACGGCCAUUCUUGAUCUCCUUCACCUUAAGCUCCGCGAAGGUAACAGGGUCGUCGGCAAGGCCGAGCGGGUCGAAGUACUGGCCGCCGGGGUAGAGGUCGUUGCCCUCGCCGACACCAUCGAGACCGUUGAUGCGGAACCCUUCAACAAGACCCAUGAGAAGGACCUGGAAGCCAAGCACGGCAAGGAUGCUCUGCGCGUGGACAAGGUUGGGGUUCCCAAGGUAAUCGAGACCACCCUCAGAGAAGAUCUGCGAGCCGGCCUUGAACCAGACGGGCUCCUUGAACUCGACGCCCACCCACUUCUGGAGCACCUCGGGGAAGACGCACCCAAGAGCGCCGAGCAUCGCCCACCGGCCGUGGAUCACCUCUAGCGCCCUGUUCCUAGCGAACGCCUCCGGGUCGGCAGAAAGCCCGGCGGUGUCCCAGCCGUAGUCGCCGGGGAACUCGCCGUUAAGGUACGACGGCGUCUGCGCGGAGAAGGGGCCCAGGUACUUGACGCGGUCCGGGCCGUACCACAAGUCGUUGCCC
rnacentral:lncRNA from 1 species